rnacentral:lncRNA from 1 species
CGCACUCUACCACUGAGCUAAAAGCCCGUCGUGCGAGCCUCCCACUGGGGGCUCGCUAUGCCAAAAGCGAGAGGAACCCCAUCCCUCUCUUUCCUUUUUUCUCCCCCAUGUCGCAACACGGGGGGAACAUGGGGACGUAAAAAAGGGGGUCCUAUCAACUUGUUCCGACCUAGGAUAAUAAGCUCAUGAGCUUGGUCUUACUUCACCGUCGAGAAAGGAAAGAAGACUUCCAUAUCCAAGUUUAACUCAGACGUAGCUCCCUUCUGUUUUUUUGGGGGUGUGAAGCAGUAUCAAACCAAAAUACCCAACAAGCAUUAGCUCUCCCUGAAAAGGAGGUGAUCCAGCCGCACCUUCCAGUACGGCAAACUUUGCAAUCAUGAAAUACUUAUAGUGUCAUGCAUAUGCGUAUAAAUGUCAUGUCGUGCAUACGUACAUGUUUCAUAACAUCAUCAACCUCAGAGGGCAUCUCAUCAUAUCAUUUCGGCCAUUUUGGGCAAAUCAUCAAUAUAUACUAACUGAUUAGGUGGUGGUGCGUAUAUAACGCCGUAACCUUUUCCCAUAUCCCAUAUAAAUAUAAUAUACAUAUAUGCUCAUAUAUAACACGAUCUGGUCAUGGGUCAAUCUACAUGUAUAAAUGCAUAAAAUGUGUAAGAAAUACGUUAAUAAGAUUUUCUCAGAAUUUCAUAAAAAUCUAUAUGCCUUUCAGAUAAAUUUUAUCAAAUAUUUUUUUUUUUUGAGACCCAUGAACAGAAGGUAUAAUAAUAAUCUAUAUGGGUAAAUCAAGAAUAUCAAAAUCAUUAGUAUUUCUAUGAAUAGAGUCAUUUAUGAAACUUUUAUAUUUGCUUAUUUAAUUUGUGUCGUAUUGAUCAUGCCAAAACGAAAGAAGGAAUAGCCUUAAUAUAACAGGAUUGAUUCUCUUGACAACCCCACUAGUACUCGUUGAUUGAGAUAACACAUAAUGAUGGAUCACAGUAAAUAAAAAUUAUAUGAUAUUCUUUAUGAAAUAUAUUACAUUGUACUUUUUUAAAAUCUCAAAAUCCUAUUACUGUAACAUCACUCUCGCAUAAUUUGUGUAUGAUAAAAUCACGUUUCUUUUGAAUGAACCGCUGAACCUUUUUGUUCGAAUUUGAUCAAAAUAACAUGUUAAUUGAAUUGAUGUAUUUAGUUUUGGCAUUGCAGAGAUCCCUUCCCGUUUUUUAGAUAAAACAUUAAGCUUUCUUAGUGUUUCAUCUCCUUUGUAACUUUGUCAAAUAUUGCAUGCGUGUCAUCUCCACAUUUCGACCUUUGCCACGUAAUGAAAUGACUUAAAGAGUUGUUCAUGGACUUUAUGGGGUGCUGUCACGUUAGAUUUUUUUUAUUUAUUACCUAAUUAAUUAAUUAAUCAUUCGUAUAAUUAAGAAUUAUUUUAAAUUAUAUAAAAUAUUAUUCACGUUUAAUACACCUUACUAUCAUAGCUGCAUUCUACCUUGUGUAGUAUUAGUUUAUAAAUAUCGAGUAUUUUAGCUCGGGCCGUAUUUUAUCCCAAAAUAUUAAACUUAAAAGAAAUUUAUUUGCUUCGAUUUUCUUAUCUUCUCACAUUCACGAAUUUACUCAUUACUUGUCUGAGAUCGCAUAAAAUGCUCAUAAAUUUUAAAAUAAUCUCAUUCCUGAUCUUAUGUCGAUUAACUUACGGCAAAACUUUAACCUACGAAAAUGUAAAAUAUAAUAUCUUAUUUCCAAGCUUUCAUCAAUUUACUUAUAGCGUACUUUUACGUAUGAAAACAUGAAAUGUAACAUUAUUCACCCCUUUGGAAAAUUCGUCCUCGAAUGUUGACUGAUGGACUUAUCAUGCUCAUAACUCAUAGCUUUUGCAAAUACUUUAAUACUAUUAUGGCUAUUUAGGCAGAUGUUCUUUGAAUAAAUCCAAAGGCCAGGACAUUCCCUCCUUUAGUUCUGUUUCCCAUGCUAUAACGUGUGAUCGAAUUCCUUUCAAUCUCGUAAUUGUUGCUACCUUCUACUAUGCAGUCUCUAUGAUACUAACCUUGUAAGUGUGUCUAUGCGACUUUUCUCUCCUUUUUCCUCCAUCUUUUAGCCAACCUCUAGGCUUUACUUUAUAAACAUAUACAAGUCUUAAUAAGAUUCCUCUUCUGUCAUCUAUAGGUGUACUGAAGUUCUUCUCUUGUUACUUUGUAGAACUUGCAAAUAUGGCCAUAUAUUAUUCCAUAGAUCUGAUUAUCCAUUCGCAUGACUUUAUCAAUUCUGAGGCCUGAUACCAAACUCCAAGUUACUUCCGUUACUCAUCCCAUCUGUAUAAAUCUAAGUCCUUUAAUGCUUCCUAAUCAUUUGUAUAUCUUAAGAAUGACGGCAUAAUCUCACCUCGCACUUUGUGACUUGUGUCCACCUAUUAUUGAUUCACCUCAAUAUUGAUCUACAAUAUAGCACUGAUAACUUGGAACCUCUUGCGUAAUCACUAGGGAUAUUGUUGCAUCGUGGAACAUUUGAAGUAAUUUUUCUAAUCCAUCUGGGUGAUACGAAACUAUAUUUCCAUAACGUAUUUCAUAGUAUCCCGAUGUGACUCACCUUACAUGGCUAUUUUAAUCCUUUCCAAUUCAUGAAUCCCUUUCUUUUCUUCGUAUGACCUUUACUCAACAAACUUCAUUCUUUAUCUAUCACAAUCACACCCUCAUUCUACUACUAGGGUAGCAUUCUAUCUCUUCUAACUACUACUAGUCUUAGACACUUUUGAGUUUAUUCAGGCUAUACUAAUCUUUCUAUAGCUUAGGGAAAUCCUCAACUCUUCCUAUUUUUCAUGGGCUUAAUCGUGGGCAUAAUCAGAAGGAUCUAUCCAUUUUUCGUUACCUUCUCACUCGCCCUUUCUUAUCCUUACUAUGUCUUCUAGAACCCUGUUGCUUCACCAUACAAUAGCUUGCGACGUACACAUAUAUUAUAUUACUUGCAACUUUUUAACUUGGUUGCAUCAUAGAUUUCAUUAUGUCCUUCUAGAAUAUCAAGCGAGACAUCACAUCGUCUUUUACUCUUCCUUACUCUCUUAAUUAGGAUUCUCGAUACCUAGACCAUAGACUUGAGGAUAUGCUACUAUCAUUCCUGGAUAUUGAAUCCUUGCACUUCUAGCCUUUUAUCCGAAGUAAGGACUAUUCACAACAGUCGAUAUUUUUUUAUCUCGUACAUUGUAUACCUUUACCUUACUUAUAUUAAAGUCUCACAUCAUAUCUUUUAUCUCUUUCAUGACCUCCCUUCCACAUAGGUAUAAUAACAACUACAACUCGAAGCUCUCUUAUAAUACUUGCACCUCUGGUGCAUACACAAUAUGGUGAUAGAUCCAUAAUGGUAUUAUUUUAAUUGGCUUUAUCAUAGAGCCAUUAUAGAAUAUGGCUACUGCACUAUUCUCUUGUAUGUAUGAUAUUAUGAAUGAUUUUACAAUGUUUCAAUCGUGAUGUUUGUAACUUUCUGAGUCCAAUAAGUCUGCCACCCAGCUUCAGGAUAAUCUUUCUCUCCUUGUCCUAUAUGUAUAAAUCUAAUCCUUUAAUGUUCCCUAUUUAAUUUUCAUUUUAAUAAUGACAGUCUAAUCUCAUCUCAUACUUUGUAACUUUUAUCCAUCCAUUGGUGAUUCACCUUAAUUUUGAUCCAUAAUCUACCACUGAUUACGUGAUACAUUUCCACUAGAGCUCACGUCUCAUUGAAGAGUAUCUGAAGUAAUUUUUCCCAUUCACCUAGCAGUGAUACUAUAUUUUCAUAACUGUAUUUCGUAGCAUCCUAACAUGAUUCAUCCUAUGGGGAUAUUCCAAUCCCGAACAAUUCAUAAAAUCCAUUUUUUUCAAAUUAUUUCUCAAUCAAAGGCCUAAUGUCAUCCUCUUAUUUAUCACUAUUGCACCCUUAUUCUAAAACGGGGGAAGUAUUUCUUCUCUUCUAAUAUCUUCUAGUCUUGGACUCCUUUGUGUUCAUUCAGAUUGUACCAAGAUUUUUAUUACGUAUGGAAAUCAUCACCUCCUUUGUUUUGAUAGGUUUUAUCCUGAGGACGUACAUAUUUUCAUCACCUUGUCACUCACUUUUUCAUACCCUUAAUCCUAUCUACCUAAAACCUUCUUGCUCUAUCAUACUUUACCUUACAACCUACACCUAUCUGUUUAUACUACUUGCAACCUUCCUUUAACUUACUAGCACCAUAAAUCUCCUUUCAUGCCUUCUCAGUUGUCUUGAAAUGUAAGGAAUUACCUUUCCUGGUCGUUCUAUCACUUGUUGCAUGAAUACUUGGAUUGUCUUAUUGCCCACGAAUACUGUAAUUUUAUCUAUCUCAUAUGUCUUAAACAUCACCUUUGAUGAGUUUUUUCCAUUCAUUUGCCAUGAUAGGUGCCACACUCUUAUGAUUUGUAUACAAUAUUGUAGUGAGACUAUUGCUACAAGAUCAUUUACUUUUUUGCUCACUAUGCUUAGGUGGAAACCUUCUUCUUUAUUUCCUCAGCUAGUCUUUCGUGUAGUACUUAAGGAGACCUUCUGGCUCUUAUAAAGUUGCGAGCUUGAUAUACCAUACAACCAAAGAAAAUUUCGUUGUUUUUACUCGCAUAUAAUAAUCCUUAGUUACAUAAAUUUGUGCCUUUGUGCUUGUAGGGUUACUUCUAAGAUCAAAUUUUUAUUGUCUCCAUAGUUGCGCUUUCUCUUAUUUUUAUAAACCUUAAAAACUGCACCUUUAGUAACCCAACUCCUAUAUGGAUCUUUCUCAAGGUUACGACGUCAUAUCUGCAAGACUAAAUUCAUUAGAUUAGGGUUCACUACGUUUAUCUUGCAUGAUCAGCUGAUUUGCUUAUAACCUCUUGUAUAGCUAUAACUUGGCUCUUCCUGAAUCAACUACAAACUACUCGUUAGUCCAUUCUCAUAUCCAUAUUCUGCGUAAUCUCUCUUUAGUUAGUUACUUUGUCUUAAGUUACCUAUCGCACUGGCUCCUUAUAUGUCAAGUGUUCAUUAACACUUAUUUAUCAAUAUCAUCGGGUGCGUAACCCUUACCACUUCUCUCUAGCAUCACGCUUGCAUAAUGUUCUGGAGUUGUAUCAUAUAUAUAGGAUUUGAAUAGAUGCUAUCUCGUUCCUUUCAUCCUUUUACCGUAUUCCUUCUUUGCUAUUCCAUAGUUAGCUCCUCAUCUUGCCAUUUUUUUUAGAUAUUUAGUGACAUCUUUCUCGCCUUGUAGUAACACUUCUAUACCGGGGCUAUUUGAAUUAAUUACGCACAAGGGUGACUCUUAGUGUGACUGGCAUACUUAGUCCCUUAAGCUUAACUCUGCUCCAUGUGCUUGCUUUCGGGAAGCAUCUUCCUAAACGAACCUUAAAGGUUAUUCUUUUGUUGUCCAUUCUAUUAUUGUCAGAAUGUUAUUUAUGAAAUUCUCAUGAUAUAAACUAUAAUAAAAUCCUUCAGUCCCAAAUUCAUGUUCAGUUUAUGUUGUUCACUUUCCUCCAAGUUAUCACGUUGAAGUUACCAACUCAUUUCUCGAAAAAAAAGAUAUGGCUUUAUGGUUUAUACUCUUUUAUUGCCUCAAAGUCUGUACCCUCUUGUAUUUUCCUUUACUUGACAAUAGACUCUGUCAUCGUGUCAUAUUUUGAUUUACCGUUAUCACCCAUAUAUUACAUCUUACUCAUGAUGCUUCAUUUACUCUGUUCUUAUUUUUUGGAUAAUAUCUUUGUCUAUAACUUUACUCUGAAAACUUCAACAAAAAGUUCUUUCCAUUUUAUCUCCCCUAGCUUCAUCUCACUGGCUCUUUGUAAUGACUAACAUUCUCCUUUUGUUUUUUCGUGCUAGAGUCAUACUAAGGUAAAUAUUUGUCCCUUCUAGGAUCCCACUGCCUACCUUCUGAAAUUUCUAAAUAUUCCAAUAUUCAUAUCUGAUUGUACUACUCUAGAGUUCACCAUUUGGGUGACUCACAAGGAGAUCUAUUACCACAUUUGCACCAUCUUUCAAUAUCUGAUUGUUCUACUCUAGAGUUCACCAUCUGGUGACUCAUAAAGAGAUCUAUUACCCCAUUUUCACCAUAUUUCAGAUACAUUAGUUAAUGAUAAAAAUCCAUCCAUAAUUUUUUUGUCACUCAAACGCGAACUGAAUAUCGGUAUCACCUUCUUCUCUUAAACUACAUUUGUUAGAUCUCAUUGGGCAUAACUGAGAUGGGUGUGGUCAACAGUAUAUAUCUCCAUAAUACUGAAGGAAACACCAAUACUAACAUUUUUCUGCCUGAAUUGUAAAUACUAAUAAUCUUCAUUAACUAGGUACCUCACACCCUUCGUCAUUAUGCUUGUUUUACUUGCUGAAACUUGUGCUUACUUUUUUAUUCUCUUAUUCCUUUUUAACAUAUGUAUUGAUAGAUAUUCUUGCCUUAGGGAUCCUUACCAAGAAGAUUACAUGUCUUAGUACACACGUGAUCUGCUGAACACCUCACAUUUACUCAUCAUAAGAUUAAUGCGAAAUCAAGUUCCUCUGAAUCAACUUUUCCGUAACCACAUUCAAUCUCUUAGAAGCCAUCUUCUUUCUGGAUGUAUGUUUCAUUGUACUAUGAGUAAAAUAGAAUUUAGGAGUUUGAAUUCUUACAAUUGUGCUCUACAGCACGAUCUAUAGUAAAAAGAAAGAGUGACAGUCCUAAAUGCCCUGUAGCCUCAUGCUUAUAAGUGUGGUGCACAACACACCCAAAAACAAGGCCCUACUAGACACAACUUGUAGAUUCCCUAUGAUAGAACUACUCUGAUACCACAUUUUGUCACUACCCAAACCGAAGGGGCGCUAAGACUCUACUAUACACGGCUUGUAGACUCCCUAGGACAGAACUACUCUAACACCACUUUUUGCCACGACCCAACCGAAGGUCCGCGACGGGCACACGGUGCCUUACUCAAUCGAGUACCAGCAUAACAUACCUCUUAUCAUACUAUCAUGAGUAGAUGUGCCAGAAAACCCAUCAUGAGCGAACACGAAUACAACAUAAGGGAAUACUCAACAUAUGAAGACCCAACAUGAUAUACAAACUUAUAUAUGUGACAUACGGGCCUAUAUGGCCGACAUGACCAUUUGUAAACACAAAACAUAGGCCGGCAAGGCCAUACAAGUACCCAUACACCUGACAUCUGUCUACAAGCCUCUAAGAGUACAUAAAAUCAUAAAGGUUGGGACGAGGCCCUGCUAUACCAAUCAAUAUAUAUCAAAAGAAUACUGACCAAAUAGGCAACUCCGAAGCAAGUGGAGUGCACCAACUCCUUCACUGAGCUGAUAGCCUACUAAGAGGAAUGACAACCUGUCUAUCAGGAACUGCGGGCAUGAAAAAAUAGCGUCUGCAGGCAAAAGAAACAUCAGUACGAACUAAGUACCGAGUAUGUAACACAGGAAAGCAUAAAAAAGAACUGUAAAGUAAAGAGAGAUAGAGGAAAUACAACCUGUAACAUCUGAGUGCCUCUGGAGGUUUCUGACAUGAAAUGCAUAAUACAUAUAUAUAUACAUAACUUUUAAAAACAUACGCUUAUGUGGGCAUCAUUAUCAUCAUAUCGUACCUGGCCUCAAAGAGGACUGAGUAAAAAUGUACCUUGCCAUCAUAAGGCUCGGUAGAAUCGUACCCGUCCACGUGGAGCUCGGUAAACCCAACUGAUCAGUGGUUGCACAAUAGGUGCCAUAUUCGGCCGACUAUAGCACGGUUUGGUGGAGUAAAAUAGAUACACAUAUAUAAUGCAUGCUCCACUCAUGGAGACACGUUCUAGACCUUCUGGAAUGACGUAAGAUCGGUAUCGUCCAUAUACGUGAUUAGGACUAACUCUUCACCAUGAACCUUAUAAGAAUCAUGAAGUACCAACAACAUUGAUAAAGUAAGAAUAAAAGAAGCAACAUCACAUCAAUCAUUCCACAAGAGGGGAAACAACGUCAGUACUGCUAGCUUCUAAGAGUAGAGUAUCUUUGGAAGCUCGUUCAUUACAUUAUGUACAAUCGGAGUCAUGAAAAAGAAGGGAAGGGGUAGCCUCACAUAUCUUGUACAUUCUUUCCAACCUCAAGCUAUGAAAUUUCACGGCUCCUUAGUCUAUAAUAAUAGAACUUACACUAUAGUUAUCAUUUAGGCAUCGUUACUAUUAUGUAUCGAAUACAACCUAUUUCACGAGGAAAUGGACAACACUUCCCCUAUAUAUAUACAAACGACCCGGAAAUGUUACAACGAACGACCAGCAAACCACCCUUCCAUUAUGUUUUAUUUCUCCACAUUAUUUAUCUUCUAAACUCCAUAAAAAGUAUCAAAAGUUACAAUCCAAUACCAACAUGAAACGGCCCAUAAAACAACCCACAACAAGUCCAAUAAUUCGAACUCACAGCUUCCAAUCACCAUCCCGUGAGAUCAAGCUAUUAGAAAUGAAUUUAUCAAACUUCCUUCAUAUUUAAAAGCUUAAAUACAGAAAUAAUUCAUUUUCCUAACUAUUGAAUACCUUUCAAAACUCAAACAACAAAGAAAAAGAGAGGCAAUAUAGUGAUACUUACGUCAUAUGGAUCGUAUUAAUGUUAUCGCUGCUUGAUUUCGUGCCCCGGAUGAUAAUCUUGUUGGAAAACCUUGUGGAAAGCGUGAAGGGAAGGUUAGGGGUCUUAUUUGGUAGAGCUAUCUGGAAUUAUGAAGAAAGAGACGACAUAGGAAGAUAAAUAUCCAUUUUGGUUGAUAAGUCAAAAAAGGUGCUACUUGGCACCCUAGCAUUGGUUCAUCUUCCAACGCUUAUAACCUUUAUCGGAGUGUCGUAUGAGCAAAGAGUUAAGAGAGUUGAAAAAUAAAUUCCAAUACCUUUAAUUUUAUAUAUAAUAUGUCAAAAGACCUUACAUAAUACACGAAUUGUAUUGCUCAAAGAGCUUUAGCGGCAUACCUUCUUGCCAACUAUGCAGUCUGUGCAGUCUGGUGAAACUGCAAAUAUCUCUCUCCUCCGAUAUCGUAUUGACAAACCGUUUAAUUCAUAAAAAAUUAGACUCAUAGAUAUUCAAAUUAACAUGUGGAUCAUCCCGUAAUUCUAAAUAUAUUGUGAGAAAAGCUCUGCUACAUUUGACCUAAUAUUUAGCACAUUUAUAAAUGCAACUUGUGAUGACCUUUGCCAACUUUUGCUCCACACUCGCGUGACUCCAAAACAUAACACACGACUAUAUUAAAACUUAUAUAACUUAUAACAAAACCUUCUUAUCAUAUUAACAAACCUAGUCUCACCCCAAAGUGCAUGUUAUAACAUUCCAAACUUAUUGACUUUCAACGAAACUUAUUUCCUUCAAUUUGCUUAGCUUCUAAGCCUUUCCAACUAUCUUGGUACUUGUUAUUCAUGAACUUAAACAUUUGUAACCUCUAACGCAACAUGACUAACUUAAUAAAUUUGCUUCCAAUAGAAUCUUAUUUCUGAUCUUACAUCAAUUGACUUACGACGUACUCUCACGUACGAAAAAAUAGGGUGUAACAGUGACACUUGGUGUAACUAGUACGUACAGUCACUUAAGCUUUACUUUGAUCAUAUUGCUUGCUUUAGAGAAGCGUCUUCCUAAAUGAGCUUUCUGGACUAUUCUUCUGUCAUCCAUUCUAUUAUCGUGGGAACGUAAUCUCUGCAAUUAUCAUGAUACCAACUAUUAUCAAAUCACUUAGUCCCUACUUUAUGUUUGGUUUAUCUUGUUACCAACCCAUACUGAAUUCUAUUAAUCUCAGGUUUAACUAUUCCUUCUGGUUAUCACGUUAGAGUCAUGAAUUUAUUUCUCGAAAUGAGGAUAUGAAUUUAUGGUCGAUACUCUUUUGUUGUCUCAAGUUCUAGUCACCUCUCGUCUUUUCCUUCACUUGACAAUAGACUCUGUAAUACCGUCAGUUUUUUAUUUACUGUUGUUAUCCAUAUAUCACAUCUUACUCAUAAUGCUUCACUAACUCUCUUUUUAUUCCCGCUAACAUUUAUGUUUAUCACUAUAUUCUGAAAAGUUGAACAAGACAUUCUUUUGCUUUUAGCGCCCAUUGUUCCAUCCAUUGUCUCUUUGGGUUGCCUAACAUUCUUUCUCUACUAGGGAAGGGAGCCACACAAAUGUAAUUUUUUUCCCUUCAAGGCUUCCAGUGCCUAUAUUUGUAGUACUUAUAUCUAGCUGUAUUAUUUUAGGGUGCACCAUCUAGGUAUCUAACAAGGAGAUCUAAUAGCACAUUUGUAACAUACUUCAGUUUGGGGCCUCGUACGCUUCUUCAUCUUACUUUUUUUCGCUUGUUAAAACUUGUAUCUACCUUCUGAAUCUCUCAUUAUCUUUUACCAUAAGAGUGGAUAGAUAUUCUUGCCUAAAGGCUCCUUAUCAAGAGGCUUACACAUCUUAGUAAACACAUGAUCUACUAUAGACCAUAUAUUUACUUAUCACAAGCAUCAUGAUAAAUCGAGUACCUCUAACUCAACCCUUCCAUAAAUAUAUCUUGUACCAAUCACCUUUCUAGAUAUAGGCAUCGCUAUAUUAUGAAUAAGCUAGAGUUUCCGAAAUUGACUUCUUACAAGUGAGCUCUACCAUACGAUCUAGAGUGAGAAUAAAGAAUGACGGUCCUAAAUACAUGUAGCCUCCUGCUUAUAUGUGUGGUGCACGACACACCCAUAAACAAGACACUACUAGACACAGCUUGUAGACUCCCUAGGGCAGAACUGCUUUGAUACCACUAUUGUCAUAACCCAAACCGAUGAGCCGCAACGGGCCCCCGGUACCUUACUUAUCCGAGUAUCUAUGUAACGUAUUUUUCGUAUCAUACUAUCAUUAGGUAAAUGAGCCAUAGAGGGUGUUAUGAGAUACACACAAUAAAAUAACGAGAACUACUCGACAUUGGAUGAUGCAACAUGUAAUUCAAACUUACGCAUAUAACCUACAUGCCUAUAAGGCCGAAAUAACCACUCGUAUACUCUAACAUAGGCCUACAAGGCCAUAUAAUCUUUUACGUACAUGCCAUAUUUCUACAAGCCUCUAAUAUACAUAAUCUUCAUAAAGGUCGGGACAGUCCCACCAUACUAAAAAUACAUGUCUAAUCAUAUUAACCAAACAAGCAACUCUAAAGGAAAUGGAGCGCACCAAUAUCUCUCGCUGAGCUGAUAGACCACUUAGAAGGCUCUCGACCUAUCUAUUGGGACCUGCGAGCAUGAAAUGCAGCACAACCAGGCAAAAGACAUAUCAGUACAAAUAAUGUACCGAGUAUGUAAGGCAUAUAAAUAAGUACAUAACUGACAUAAAAGAGAUAUAGAGUAAAUGACUCAACAUGUAUGUCUUGAAAACUUUGUAAAUCAUGAAAUACUUACAGUGUCAUGCUAUGCAUAAGAAUAUCAUGUUGUGCAUAGGUACAUUUUCAUAACAUCAUCAGUCUUUGAGGGCAUCCCAUCAUAUCAUUUCGGCCGUUGUGGAAAAAUCAUCAAUAUAUACCAGCUGAUCAGGUGGUGGUGCGUAUAUCACGCCGUAACAUUUUCCCAUAUCCUAUUUUAAUAUAAUAUACAUACAUAUAUAUAUAUAUAUAUAUAUAUAUANNNNNNNNNNNNNNNNNNNNNNNNNNNNNNNNNNNNNNNNNNNNNNNNNNNNNNNNNNNNNNNNNNNNNNNNNNNNNNNNNNNNNNNNNNNNNNNNNNNNNNNNNNNNNNNNNNNNNNNNNNNNNNNNNNNNNNNNNNNNNNNNNNNNNNNNNNNNNNNNNNNNNNNNNNNNNNNNNNNNNNNNNNNNNNNNNNNNNNNNNNNNNNNNNNNNAUAUAUAUAUAUAUAUAUAUACAUAUAUAUAUAUAUAUAUAUAUGUGUGUGUGUGUGUGUGUGUGUGUAUGUGUAUCAUGACAUCUGGUCAUGGGUCAAUUUACAUGUAUAUAUGCAUGAAAUUCGUAAGAAAUAUGUUAAUAAGAUUUUCUCCAAAAUGCCAUGGAAAUCCAUAUGCCUUUCGGAUUAAUUUUAUCAAAUACGUGUUUUUCUAAUACCCAUGAACAUAUGAUAUAAUAAUAAUCCGCAUGGGGAAAUAAAGAAUAUGGACACCCCUAGUAUUUCAAUGAGUCGAGUCAUUUCUGAAAAUUUUGGAUUUGCUCAUUUCGUUCGUGUCGUAUAGACCAUGCCAAGAAGAAAGAAGGGAUAGCCUUAACAUACCUAGGUCAAUUCUCUUGACAAACCCUCUAGCACCCGUUAAUUGUGACAACAUGUAAUGAUGGAUCGCACUAGAAAAAAAUUUGUAUGAUAUUCUUUAAUAAAGAUUGCACCGUACUCCCUUAAAAUUACAAAAUCCCGUUGCUAUAACAUUACGUAUGCUCGUAUGAUUUUUGUGUGGCAAAAUCACGUUUCUUUUGAUUGAACUGCUGAAGUUUUUCUUUGAAUUUGAUCAAAAUAACAUGUUGAUUGAAUUGAUGCAUUUAGUUUAGGAAUUACAGAGAUCCCUUCCCGUUUUGUAGAUAAGUCAUUAAGUUUUCUUAGUGUUUUCUCUUCUUUGUAACUUUGCCAAAUAUUGCAUACAUGGCAUCUUCGACAUUUUCACCUUUGCCGCAUAAUGAAAUAACUUAAAGAGUCAUUCAUGGGCUUUUUGGGGGGCCUACCUCGUUAGAUUCCUUAAUUCCAUUACCCAAUUAAUAAUUAAUUACCCAUAUAAUUAAAAAUUAUUUCAAAUUAUAUAAAAUAUUAUUCGCUUUUAAUACACCUUAUACACCUUAGUAUCAUAGUCAUAUUGUACCUUGUAUGGUACUAGUCCAUAGAUACCAGGUAUUUUAGCUCGGGACAUAUUUUAUUCCAAAAUAUUAAAAUUCAACGAAAUUUAUUUUCUUCGAUUUGCUUACCUUCUCACACUCAGGUUUUACUCAUUUUUUUUUUUUUGAAAUAGCAUAAAAUGCUUAUUACUCGUAAAAUAAUCUCAUUCUCGAACUUACGUCGAUUAACUUACAAAGAAACUUUAGCGUACAAAAAUAUGGGAUAUAAUAUCUCAUUUUUGAGCUUUCAUCAAUUUACUUAUAGCGUACUAUUACAUUCGAAAAUAUGUGGUGAAAGAAUUUUUAUCCUCGGAGACAUUGCGCUUGGAGUUGGGCUUGUCACUCUUCUUCAAUUUCAAUUGCUAAGUCUCAUUUUCAAUCAUAUUUCUAUAUUAUUUUUGGAUCAAAUCAAUUCGCUUGGCUAUAAACCACAUUAUAAAUUUAACUGUUCCAUUUUACGAUAAAUAAUUUGGCAUCCGCCAUGUGGCUUAGACACUUGCAUAGUUAUUUUGAUCCUUACGUUUGCUACUAACUUGUUUGAUUUUUUCCUUAUCGAGACAUCAGAAAUGGUAGCUAAUGAUGUCAACAUCACACACAAUGUUGAGGAAGUCGAAUAUUUGCCUAAAUAUGAUGACUCAAUCAGCAUCACCCAUAAUAAAGGGGACGAAACAAUCCCAGUUUGUGAAGGGCAGUACCCCAGCAUGUGUAGGAUCCAACUCAUGAUAAUGUGGAGGAGGACAUGUUGUGGAACAAGUGAAAAUCUUAAAGGAACAGCAAAAAGCAAUCAUGAGUCAUCUCUCAAGGUAGGGCUGUUUAAUGAUGGAUUAAUAACAAGCAUUGUCAGGUACUUCCAAUAAAGCAAAUGGAAAACGCCCGAUUCCUCCCAGUGCUUCUGCAAAUUAGACAGCUAAAAUGGUCGAUAACAUCACCGCAGGGGAUGAAGUCGAUUUUGAUGGUGUCGAGGGAACUAGUAGCUGAUCUUGUAAUAAAAAGGGGAUUGACUCCUUCAAAACUACGCUCAUGAGGUUUACGAGGAAAAUAAAAGAAUGAAUGUAUCAAAAUGCGAAGGAGUUUCAUGCCCGAAUUAAUCAGAUUCCGAGGGCACCGUCAUAUUAUUCACUCUUAUCCGAGCAUUCAAUUGACUCUUUUGGAAUGCUUUAAGAUUCAUUAAUUAAGGCACAUGCUGGGGAAAGGUAGGUCCAAGCAAGGAAGGCACACAUAUUAGGGAUUGCACAGGGUGAGUCAAAAUUUCUGUGAGAAUUUGUGAUGCGGUUCCAAAAAGUGGGGAUGUUGCUACCGAUGUAAUAGAUGAGUGGUCAGUGGAGAUGUUCAUAAUGGGUUUGAAUCCACGAAACUCGGAUGCCUCCCAAAAAUUAAACAAAAGCCUGCUCGAAUUCCAAGCAACCACAUGGGCGGCUGUCCAUAACUGUUAUGAGUCAAAAACAAUAAUAGAAUAUGAUCAGCUCGGGUUCCCAACAUCCACCAGGUCACGAGGCCAAUACAAAAAUUAGCACAAUUUUAAAAGAGACUUCGAUGUGGAUCAGCGAUCUUCUAAAAGUUGGUCCCUACCAUAUAAAAGAACCAAGAGACGCAACACUAAAUAGUUUUGGUCCACGACUAAUUUAGCCUCUGAUAGAAAGGCGAACGUGCGACCGUGGCCGGAAUAAUUGGUCAUUACAAGAAAAAAAGGUAUCGGGGUUCUGUGACCACAUAUCCUAGGUAAUCCAGUUACGACUUCAACAUCGGCUUAGUGGACUUGGUAUCGACGUUGCAAAUAACAUCAAAGCAUAAUUCCUAAUGCCAAUAAGAUCUGAUUCCAGCCAGAGGGAUUCCAAUUUAUGGUGUGAGUAUCAUGGAACUCACGACAAUAAAACUAAGGACUGUCAGCAUUUAUGUAAUCAGGUGGAGAAAUUAUUAAAGAAUGUCCAUCUUAAGGGACUUUUAAGUGAUCGUUCCUAAAACAACCACUACUGAGGCUAGGAUAAUGUAGAGUCUUCGAAGGAGGCAGAAGACUCCCCUCGGUUGACUAUUAACAUGAUUUUUAGAGGGAAUAAAAUAAAUGGUGUAGCCUUCAAGGCGGGCAUGAAAACUAAAAUAUCACUGACACGUCGAGAAGUCGUAGAAGAUGAGAUCACCUUCGUGGAGUAAGACACUGAAGAACUUCUUCUGCCACAUAAUGAUGCUCUGGUAAUCUCUCUUAAUGUUAUCGAUUUCAAAAUUAAGAGUAUUUUUGUUGACCUAGGAAGAACACCAUCCAAUGGAGAGUGCAAGAGCAAGUAAAGUUGGAUUGAUUGUAAAUAGGGAUAAAAAUCUUAGUUGGAUUCAGUUUCACAAGUGUGACAAACCGAGGACAAAUCCUACUGCCCACAAAUGCUGAAGGGGCAACCAAGACUACCUUAUUCGAAGUAGUUGAUAGAUACAUGGGCUAUAAUGUAAUCCUCGAGAGGACGUGGAUACAUGAGAUGAAGGUUUUUCCUUCAGCGUAUCAUCAGUUGUUGAGAUUCCCAUCCCUGGAAGGAAUUAAGCUGAUAAGAGCAGAUCAACCGGCUGGAAGGGAGAUGAAUACAUUGACUAUUUCCAGCAGCAUAGGAAAAGAUUCCAACAAAUAGAAAUUACAGGAACCCGAUGCUUUCUUCCUUUUCGAAUGAAGACGAUAAAAGCGAGGACUCAUCAAAACUUAUCAAUUUUAAGAUAUUUUUAGGUAUCAAAGGAGGAGAUGGAUGUGACCAACACAACCCCAGAGGAACUCUGGCAAUUGGUCUUAUUGAAGAGUUCUUUGAGAUGAAGUUCCAUCUGGCAACAACACUAAUCCCCUAGCUCGGUUAUGGUUUAUAAAUUUUCUAAAAGCUAACAUUGACUAUUUUUCAUGGCCACAUGCAGACAUGAUAGGCAUCCCAUUUGAGGCGGUAGUGCACAAGUUAAGCCUAGAUCCGAACUUUCUACUAGUAAGGCAAAGUGAACGUCUGACAACAUAGGUCAGGAGCAUGGUUGUUAAAAGAGGUAACUCGAUUACUCUAUAUUGGUUCCAAAUGAAAGGCAAAAUAUCCAUGAUGGUUAGUCAACAUAGUUGUAUUACCAAAAAAGAAUAACAAAUUUUGAAUGUGUGUACUAUAAGGAUUUAAAUAAGGUGUGCCCUAAAGACUCAUUUCUAUUGCCAAACACUGAUCAAAUGAUUGAUGCUAUGGUCGGACUCGAGUUAAUGAGUUUCUUGAUUCUUCCUCUACGUACAAUCAAAUGAAGAUGAAUCCAAAGGAUCAGGAAAAGACUUCUUUAAUAACAAACUUUGACACAUAUUGAUAUAAUGUGAUGCCAUUUGGUCUUAAAAACGUCGGAGCCACCUACCAGAGGCUCAUUCACAAAAUGUUUGAAAAUCCAAUAGGAACAAAUAUGGGUGUAUACGUUUAUGACAUGUUAGUCGUCUUUGAAUAUAGGAGAUCAUUUGAAACACCACUAGGAAACUUUCAAUAUCUUGAAAAAGCAUAACAUGAAACUCAACCCGAAAAAAGUGCAUUCGAGGUUAGCUCCGAAAAUUCUUGGGGUUCUUUGUCUCAUAAACAGGGAUCAAGGUGAAUCCCACAAAAUUAAAGCUAUAGAGGACAUUCUAGACAAAUUGACAAUUGUGAAAUAGGUAUUGAGGUUGACCGAACGAUUGGCAAUAAAGUAGAUUCAUCUCGAGAUCCUAUGUAAAGAUUUAUUACUUCUUCUCACGCCUCAAAAAGAAACAUAAUUUUGAAUAGACUUUGGAAUGCCAAUUGGCCUUAAAAGACCUAAAAAUUAUACCUACCAGACCCUCUGGUAUUGUGAAAAUCAGGGGAAAGCGAGCAACUGCUAAUAUAUCCAAUGAUCUUAGAAGUAGUGAUACGUUCCAUUUUAGUUCGAGAGAAAAAAGGCAUGCAAUUUUUUAUUUAUUAUGUUAGUAAAAUAUUAUUGAAAGCGGAGACUCGCUAUUUGCACCAUGUGAAGUUGUCCUUACCUCUCAUAAUUUCCUCUCGAAAGCUUAAUCUUUAUCGCCAAUGCCACCUGAAAGCCAUUGUCACAACCAUUCCCUUGAGGAAUGUUCUUCACAAGUGUGAGUUGUCAGGCUGCUUGGCUAAAUGGGAAUUUGAAAUUAGUAAGUUCAAUAUCGAGUACAAGCCCAUGACUAUGAUUAUGUCACAUGUUUUGGCCAACUUCAUGGCCGAUUUCAAUCUCGGCCUAAUUCCAUUGGCUGCUAUGGAAAUAGUGAUGGUCUCGUCAAUGACAUCAGGAGUUUGGACCUUGUUGGCGCAAGUAAAGAAUAGUUUCAAAGAUUGACAAAUAAAAUCAUAGAUGGACCAGGUCCAUCCUAGUGAACCACAGAUAUGAUCAACUCAAGCAUGAGAGAUGUACGUAAAUAGAUAAACCUCAGUUACCGAAAAUGAUAUCUCUUGAUCGUGUUCGAAAAGGUUACAUAUACAUAUAUACAUAUAUAUAUAUAUACAUAUACAUAUAUAUAUAUAUACAUAUACAUAUAUAUAUANNNNNNNNNNNNNNNNNNNNNNNNNNNNNNNNNNNNNNNNNNNNNNNNNNNNNNNNNNNNNNNNNNNNNNNNNNNNNNNNNNNNNNNNNNNNNNNNNNNNNNNNNNNNNNNNNNNNNNNNNNNNNNNNNNNNNNNNNNNNNNNNNNNNNNNNNNNNNNNNNNNNNNNNNNNNNNNNNNNNNNNNNNNNNNNNNNNNNNNNNNNNNNNNNNNNNNNNNNNNNNNNNNNNNNNNNNNNNNNNNNNNNNNNNNNNNNNNNNNNNNNNNNNNNNNNNNNNNNNNNNNNNNNNNNNNNNNNNNNNNNNNNNNNNNNNNNNNNNNNNNNNNNNNNNNNNNNNNNNNNNNNNNNNNNNNNNNNNNNNNNNNNNNNNNNNNNNNNNNNNNNNNNNNNNNNNNNNNNNNNNNNNNNNNNNNNNNNNNNNNNNNNNNNNNNNNNNNNNNNNNNNNNNNNNNNNNNNNNNNNNNNNNNNNNNNNNNNNNNNNNNNNNNNNNNNNNNNNNNNNNNNNNNNNNNNNNNNNNNNNNNNNNNNNNNNNNNNNNNNNNNNNNNNNNNNNNNNNNNNNNNNNNNNNNNNNNNNNNNNNNNNNNNNNNNNNNNNNNNNNNNNNNNNNNNNNNNNNNNNNNNNNNNNNNNNNNNNNNNNNNNNNNNNNNNNNNNNNNNNNNNNNNNNNNNNNNNNNNNNNNNNNNNNNNNNNNNNNNNNNNNNNNNNNNNNNNNNNNNNNNNNNNNNNNNNNNNNNNNNNNNNNNNNNNNNNNNNNNNNNNNNNNNNNNNNNNNNNNNNNNNNNNNNNNNNNNNNNNNNNNNNNNNNNNNNNNNNNNNNNNNNNNNNNNNNNNNNNNNNNNNNNNNNNNNNNNNNNNNNNNNNNNNNNNNNNNNNNNNNNNNNNNNNNNNNNNNNNNNNNNNNNNNNNNNNNNNNNNNNNNNNNNNNNNNNNNNNNNNUAUAUAUAUAUAUAUAUAUAUAUGUAUGUAUGUAUAAGCCUGUCCAAGUAUCUUAUAUUUUUCUAAUUUUGAAAAGGAUAUUUAAACUUAUUUAUUGCCCUAUUUAAGCAAUACAAAAGCCAAUAGGUGUUCCUCAAAUUAUCAUUUUGAUGAUUAAUUUAUUUUAUUCUUUUAUUUAUGCAAAUAUAUGGCUAAGGUAAUUUUUGCAUAUUUUUAUAAAUUGAUUUGGUAUUUUUAAGCUAAAAAUGCAGUAAAUUAUAAUUCUAGCCUAUUUUAAGAUUUAAAUAGCCUUUAUAAUUAUAAAAUUUAUUCCGAUAUUUGUAUUUAAUAUUUAUAUAAUAUUUAUUAAUUUAGUUCCUUCAAUUUGUUUCAAAAAUUAUUUGAACUAUUUUUACAAAUUUAAAAAGAGGAAAAGUGGCUAUUCAAAUGAUAGCCUUAUUUUAUUUCAAUUAUAGCCAAAAUCAACUACCCCAAUAACCUUAUUUCAAUAAAACUCAACCAGUCCAAUUCCUAUAUAACCCGACCCCUAACUCAUUAAUAAAACCCACCCAGUAUUUCUUUUUAUCCAGGCCGUCGAUCAAAUGUGAUCAACGGCCACGAUGAUCCCUUACCAUUUUUAAUUGACCAAACCCCAACCCUAAUUUAUUUUCAUUCAAGGACGCCACCUUAAAAACCCUUUGUCUCUCGAACCUUCCUCAACUCUAAUUGUCUCCGCUCAUCUUCAACCUCAAAACCCACUGGAAACCAUAGCUUCUCCGGCCAUGGUAGUAUUAUACUCACCUCCAAUUACUCAUGUGUGCUCAAUAUUUGAAGAACCAAGGCCAGACCUCGAAGGUCUUCAUCCAGACCUUUGCUAGCUCAAGGUUCUGUGGCAAUCUCCAGCCUUUGUCCGCGUGUAUUAUGGUUUUCGGAGCCUGAUUCUUGCUUCUUCGACUCUGAUAGGUGACCUUUUAAAGCCUUUCUUAUUUUAGGUUCUUAUGAAACCCCUAGAGGUUUUUCUGUGGUCUUUCUAGAUUUGUUGUGUAUCUAUGCUCUAUUUGAGUUUUCAAACGCUUCCUGGCUUUGUUUCUAAAAAAAUCACUUCAAAAAAACAGCCUCUUUUCGAUCUAGGGUUUUUGAAAUGUUCAAGUGUUUCUAUGAUUUUUUUCUUUUCGUUUAUGUUUAAUUGUCUCUAUUAUGUUCUUGUCGCAUGUUCUUAUAUGUUUCUCUUUCUAAGUGUUCCUAUAUUGUGGUCUCCUAAGACCCUAUUGUGUUCUUGUGUCCCUUUGUUAUCUUUUCUAUAUCUUGUUCUUCUUCUAUAUUCUUUUGUUUUCUAUCUAUCAUGCUCUUAUAUGUUUAUCCUAUUGUGUUUCUCGAUAUGCUCUUUUGUUAUGAUUUCAGGUGUUCUUGUGUUCUUUUACUGUAUUUUUUUACUAAGUUCUAAUGUCUCUUCUACAGAACCCUGUUUAAGUCCCUUCUGAAAGGAUUUUUCUUAAGCAUGUUUCUUCUACUAUCACGUUGUUCUCUCUAUUUGUUUUGAAACUUAUAAUGUAUUUGCAUGUGUUCUGAUGAGUUUCUGAAAGAAACUCUUGGACCUGUUUCAACUGCUUGCUUCCUCAUCUCUGUAUUUCAUUCAAGGUGAAAACCGUAGAAUUCGGGGGUUCUACCGAGGUUUUGUCAUGUGAUUGAACUAGGGUUCUAUUUUAGAACCCUUGACUCUCUGAGAUUAACAUUUGAGUUUUUGAACCAAGUCUGAGGUUCUUUAUUUCUUCUACACUAGACUCUUUUACUGAUUGACAUGACAAUUCUUUCAUGAUUAAGUGUUCUUGCAGAAUUUAUAUGUGUGAUAAAUGUUUCUUCAAAAGGUUUUCGAACUAGUGAUUGACAUAGAAUCUCCGUUUAAUAGGUCUAAUUGAUUCUUACUGAUGCUCCUUAUGUUAAAACCUUUUCUACCUUUUCGGCUUGGUUCAUUCAUACCAAAUCUUUGGAUUUCUGAUUUCUUGGCUGUUAAUUGAUUUUCUUUCCUUAAAUUGUGCAACCGAGUAUGUCAAAGAUCCUAUCCCUAAGUAACCCUUAUGUAUUUUCCUCAAUAUCACACUUUGCACAAAAUGUUUAUUAAAAUCCUUUCCUUAAAUGGUUUUACCCUUUUGAUUUUGAAUCCCUUAAUUAAGGAAAACCUUUUGUAAUUGAUUUACAAUCACUCUUCAAUUAUUCUCUUACUUUAUUUUCUCAUGACUUUCACACUAUAAAUACAUGAGCUUCUUUAACACAAAGAGCACACGAUUAAAACAUUUUAGACUCUCACAAGCUUAAAGUAUUAUGUCUUCCUAUUUGCACUUUGGCUUUUACAAGGCUGCUGCUUUUCUUACUUGUUUCCUUGAAGCUGGUAUGUCCUAAUAUUUUAAAUUCAUCAUCACCCCAAUGUGUUUACUUACAGUCUUUAUAUGCAUGUCUACUUUACUGCCGAUGUGAAGUUCAAAUAUCUAACUUAGUAUGCUUGUGUUCCACUGCCUGUUUUUUACUGUGAACCUUUGCUCCCUAUCCCAUUACCCCAAUAUGAUUGUGAGUGGUGACUUAGGGCAUGGCACCAUCAAUUGUUGUUCAUGAAUUGAGUUUUGAACCAAAGAGGUUUAACCUCUAAACAAGUUGGAAGGUGUACCAGCAUAUCCCAUUGCUGGGUAUGCCCAUCAACCUGCUUUUCUUGUGUUCUUGAAAAUUCCCCACUCCCGUUUAUACCCCUAUAUGCACUGGUUUAAGUUAUUCCUUUUGCCCUUUUCCUUUUUCUUCUUUCAGAAUUUCACUUCUGCACUUGCACUCUCCCUCUUAGUUCCUAGGUUCUGCCCCCUCUCUUGUGAGCCUUGCCUUUGGACGUUGAGUUCCCUCUGAACUUGGACACUUGAAGGCUGGCCUCUUCCAUACUGCACUAUGUCUUACCCCUGUAAUGCAUUUGGGGGUGAGCACUACCCGGAGUCCACACGAGGCUCUUAAGGAACUGCGGCACAUCCAAAUAAGAGAAAGGCUUUGCAACAUUGAUCUUCGGAGUUGGUUUACUUCAUAAAUCAGACAAGAAGUCUGAAUCAGACUUUCCUUGGUUGUAACUUUCAGAUUUCUGAUGUAUAUUUUAUUUCAAUUUUUUGGGUUGUAAUAACUUUGUUUAAUUUUCAGGGAUGGUUAGUUAAAAGAGAGGGGUAACUAUGAAUGUAUAAGGGUAAAAAUCUUGCCUAUAGGAGUCUCUAAUUUUUGUACUUUUCAUAGUUAUCAUCCCUACAAGAAUCUUUAAUUUCUGCAUCAUUUCAUGUAGUUAUCAAGCCUAUUGUAUUUCUACAUUCCUUCAUGUAGUUAUCAUGUCCGUAAGACUUUUGUGUUUCCAUAUAGUUAUCAUGGCAAUAAGAUUUCUUCAUCCCUUCAUGUAGUUAUCAUGUCUCUAAGACUUCUCCAUUUACAUAUAGUUAUCAUGCCUAUAAGGUUUCUGCGUCUUAUUUAGUGUCACAACCCCAAUUCACCCUCCGUGAACAUGUCAUGAUGGCACCUAGUCCUUAUAACUAGGUAAGCCUAACAAUGCGGAAAACAACAUAACUUGCAGAAUCAUUAAUAAAUAUAAGCAACUAAAAGAGAAAUUGUAUAUAAAUUCCUCUCCGCAUAUACAACUUAAUAAUGCGGAUGUCUACAAUAUCACCCCAAAACCUGGAAACUCAUGGGAACACAAGCUAACGAAAACUAAUACAUGGCUCUAACUCCAGAAUAUCUAAAGGAAAUUAUAAAAGAAUCUAAAUACUAUUGAUAGAGUAAAGACGGAGACUCCUUAGUCUCCAGACACUGCAGAAGUACCUCAAAGUCUCCAUCACCCUUCUGGCCUCAAGGAUAGUGCGCCUGACAUGAAGUACCUGGGCCUGCACAUGAAAAACAUGCGCAGAAGAGGCAUGAUUACACCACAACAUUAGUAAGUAAGUGCCAAGCAUAACCUCGAUUGGGUGGUGACAAGGAAGGUCAGGUUCCUACUGAGAUUAAACAAUAUAAUAAGAAUGUACAAUAUGAAGUCAAGUGAAAAUAAUGUGAACCAACAAUGAAAUAAGACAAAAUUUACAAGGAAACAAUAAAUAAGCGAUGAACGGAGUAAACACAGAGAUGCACAGCUCAAUACCAAAAUACCAAAUGAUAAUCUCCCAGGAUACGGUCCUGUAGUCCGUCCCUUAAAAUUUCCGAGGAACUCCCGGGAUAUCAUCCCGUAAUCCAUCAUAUGAGUAUAUCCGAAGGAUCUCCCAGGAUACCGUUCCGUAGUCCAACUAUCAAUGUGCAGGGGGAUCUACCGGGAAUCUAACACGUAGUCCCAAAGUAAAGUGCAAGGGGAUCUACCGCAAUCCAACUCGUAGUCCCAAAGUAAAGUGUAGAGGGAUAUACCAGGAAUCUAACCCGUAGUCCCAAAGUAAAAUGUAAGGGGAUCUACAAAGAAUCUACAUGUAAUCCCAAAGUAAAGUGUAGGGGGAUCUACAGGGAAUCUAACCCGUCCACAAGUAAAAAACAAGGGGGGAAGCUACCGGAAUCCCACAUCCGUAGUCACAACAUAAAUAUGAAACCAUAACCAGAAGAUAUUCAAAAAGAAAGUACAAAAGACAAGAAACAGGUACUACUAGCCUAACAUGCUUCGUGUAAUACAGUCAAGGAAACUUAAUCAAGUAGGCAAGUUAAAUCAACUAAACAUGUUUUUCCAAUCUAACACAUGUUAUAAUUUCAAGUAAAAUAAAGCAAAUACAAAAGAAACUUAGAUUCAAUAUCUUAAAUAAAAACCCGGAUUUUCAACGAUUAGCUCAAGUAUGCGCUCGUCACCUCACGUAGAAGGCACUCAAUAACCAAAUGACAUAUCCUAUGGAGAAAGGUCCCCCACACAAGGUUAGACAAUCCACUUACCUCAAAUUUUCUCCAAAAUAAACUUGAAAUCACACUUAUUUCCAUGAGUAUCUGACUCCAAAUGGUCCAAACCUAUUCAAUUCAAUUACAUGUCGUAAAUAACAUCUCAAGCAACUGAUUCUACUAUUUAAUUCAAAUAUAAGGUGCAAAAUUAGGUAAAAUAACCUGAACUCCCCUUAAGCCAAUGUCUCUCAAUUAGAUAAUUUAUACAUUUUUAGAACCCUCAUACCCUCACGAGUGUAACCAUAUAAAAAUCUCUCAAAUCGAGGUCAAACACCCACUCAAAACUCAAUAGUUUGGUCUAUGAAGUUUUACCCAUUUUUUUCAUUCAAAUAAUCCGAAAUUAAGGAUGAAUUCGUAGUUAGAUUAGUGGGUUUUGAGCAUAAGAUAGUAGAGAAUCGUUCUCCAAUCGUUUCCCUCUAAAAUCCCUCAAAAUCUCUCCCAAAUCCGAGCUCCCAAGCUUGUAUUUUGAUAAAAAUGGCUAACCCUCGAUUUUGAUUUAUUUAGUGUUGCCCAGGUGUUUAAUGAAUCAUGAUCACAAAAGUGGGUACGCGAUUGGGUAGAGUAAAACAAAGGCUUAAGGAGAAAGGCCUACGCGUACGCGUGAAAAGGCUUGCAAUCGCGAAGAGGAAAUGGCAGAGCUACAUGAUCACGAAUCGAUCCAUGCGAUCGUGUUUAAGGAAUUGGUCCCCCUUAAUAUUGUUAUAUGCGAUCGCGUAAGCUGGGACACAAUCGCGAAGAAGAAAAUGGUCUGCAACACCUGAAGAGUUUUUUUGCAAUUUCUCAUAACUCCAAAAUGCUCCGUUGAGCAUCCAAAACACACCCGAGGUCUCCGGAACCUCCACCAAAUCCAUGAAUAUAUCCCAUAAUAUCAUUCAAACUUGUAUCAACUCUUAAACCACCUAAAAAACGCCGGAAACUCAAAUUAAUCAAGGAUUUUAGCCUAAGAACUUCAAAUUUCCUCAUAACACGCUUUUGAUAAAAAACCUAACCAAAACACGUCUGAAUGACCUAAAAUUUUGCACACAUAUCCCAAAAGACAUGACGAAGCUAUUGCAACUUUUGGGAUUCCAUUCCGACCCUCGGAUAAAAUAGUCACUAUCGGACCGGAAAAUUCAAAAGUUCAAACUUCGGCAUUUCAAGCCUAAUUGAGCUACGCGCUUCCAAAAUAUAUUCCGAACACGCUCCCAACCCCAAAUUCACCUAAUGGAGCUAAUGGAACCAUUAGAUUUCCAUUAUGAGGCUAUCUUCACACUAUUCCAACUACGGGCAACUUUGUAAUACUUAAGCUCUCAUUUAGGGACUAAGUGUCCCAAAACUCUUUGAAACUUAAAACCGAACAUCCCGUAAACUCAAAAUAGCAGAAAUGAACUUAGGGGAAGCAGUUAAUGGGGGAAUCAGUCUAUAGGAAUCCUGCACUUCCAUAUCUUUAGCUCCUACACACACAUAGAGAAUAUGCCUAUGGGUCAUUUUCUGAUUCGUGCACACCCGCUUUUCAGUAGGAAAAUUUAGGUAUAUGUCCUAAUAAUAACAAAUGUAAUUUGACAGCACAACAUUUGGAUAAUCAUGUUGUAGAAUCUUUGCACUUUUCUAUGUCUAUUACAGUGUUUAAAGUUAACCGCAUCUAGAAAGCAUACCUAUAGGGGUCAUAAUUCAAAUCUGAAUAGCCUCUCUCAUUUUUAAGUUAAAACUAGCAGUAAUAAUGCAUACUCAAAUCCAAAACUUGUACUUUUUCUGUUAAAACUUGCAACCUUUUGCUUAAAUUAACAUGCAAUCAGUCCAUAUUCUUAUUCUUGAAAUCUGUAGAUAUCAUGCCAAUAGGUUUCGUCUAUCAUUUAGGCAAAGCUUAGGGUAAUUUAUAAACUGAAUGAGUUCCCCCUUUUUUAAACUACAACCAGCAGGCAGGCCUGACUCAAGCUUCCUAUCUGAAUUAUGUAUCAAAUUAAUCAGCCUCAAAUCCCUAAGUUUUAAUUAGACCUUAAAUAGUACGUGUAAUCCAUGCUAAACUACGCGUUUUCUCUAGUUUAAAGGAGGUUUUUUCUGAGCCUUAUUAUCUAUCUAUAUGCUCUCCCUCUAAAUUUUUAUAUAUAUGUUUUAAUUAUCGCCUUAGUAUUUUAACCUUUGAAACCACAAAUAAGCCCACAUUUCCUCCCAUUAGGAUUAGUAAUCCCAAAUACCUUCAGAAUUGAAAGAAUCGGGAUGGGUAAUAGCACGCAAUCGGUAAACGAGAUCAUUCCGCGCUUUAAUACCUUAACGAGGUGGGAAAGGAUAGAUAUGGAUAUGAUGACCAGUGCGCUAAUACCACGUGUAGCCCCUCUUAGAGGAGUGAUUACCAGGUAUUGCAUUGACGUGAUCCAUAUUAUUAAUAAACCUAGGACCCCAUCCCUUUACUGUUCGUUUCCUUAAAUCUUUAAAUAUGUUUAUUCUAAAUCAAAUCUCUCCUAUGCUUUUCAACUUUGUUUAUUUCUGACCUUUAUGUGAAAAUCAACUCUUAUGCGAUACCCUUAUGUGUUAUUGCAUUUAAGUCACAGCAAUAGCUUGGCCAGUAAUCACAUUAGUGGGUCCUGAGGGGUACCAAACACCUUCCCCUUGGGAUAAUUUCAAGCCACUACCCAAACUCUGGUUAUCCAAAUUGAACCAUCCUUAGUGUCCUAAUACACUAUAAUUAUUAGGUGGCGAUUCGUCAAUUCUCCUAAACCCAAUUCCUAAAAGGGAACGAGUUCUCUUCCGAAAUGUCAAUUUUCGCGAAGGAAAAAAGGGGCCGACAGCACGAUAACUCUGCUAAGGAUUUCUUGUAGGCUUUUACCAUUUCAAGCUAUUACUGUGACUUUACAUUUUUUUUUCUAUAUGCCUUUAUUUGUUUAAUCUUCUAAGCUUUUAGUUCCUUCUCAUACUAUGGAACUGACUUGUCUUUUGUUUCUUUUCCCAUUUCUUUUACUGCCUUUCUUUACUAUAUUCCUUCACUACGGUUUUAGAAUUAUUGUAAUUAUUACUCUUAUUAACGUGCAAGUACGUGGCGACUUGGUUUAAUUAUUGCAACUACAUAUCUUCAACAUCAUAUUCCACUCGUGCCAAACAAAACACCAUAGCAACGCUUAUAAUGAGUGGUUGCGCUAUUCCAAUAUUAUCACCCAUAAAUCCGGAAAAGGCAUAUUUGAGGUAAAACUAAUCGAUCAAUGGUGUAGUCGACAGUUUCGUGCCUUUCCCUCUUGAGUUGUCUGCUCAAGGGUUCCAGUAUAGUACUCUAUAGAAACCUUACUCUGUGUAAUUAUUCAUGUAUCAUGGUAAAACCUAGCCGAGUCAGUAAUGUUCUCUACAUAACGACUCUUUAAGAUAGCCUUAUCCAAAGUCCACUGGAUUUCAACAAAACCCAAACGGACAUUACCACGACUGUGGAUUUAUUUGGAGACCAGAAUGCUUCUAUUCCAACUAUUGAUAUUUAGUAGUCGAGUAUGGUGGUUGUAAGGGCCUAACCCUUUGUUUUGCAGAACAUGAGGCACGAGGUCUCCUUCGGCAUGGUCACCAAUAUCUACCCCAAACUGCAAAACUGGUGGAAGGAUCUUCACUCCAGUAAUCAGAUGCUCAUUCGGAAAUAUUUAGGGAACCUACCCUCUCUCUUGGAAGUUCAACCCAACAACAAAAUCAUUGAAUCUGCCCCUCUAUUAUGGGAUUGUGGUAGGUCUGUGUUCCGCUUUUUAGACAUUGAGGUGGCACCCCUGCUCGAGGAAAUAGGAGGACUAACUUUUAUACCGUGGGAAACUCCAGGUUUAAUAAUGCCAGAAAAUUGCAAGGUAGAGGUUUUCUCAAAAUAAUGAGUCUAAAGAAGAAUCCAGACUAGACAUGCCCGAAGGAGUCGUACAUACCCUUUGACUACUUGCACGAGAGAUACAGCUACAACAAAUAUUACCGUACUUACCCUGAGGAGCUAGCCCUUACAUCAUUGGGGCAUAUUCAUCGAAAGGAAUUUGUCUUCAUGUUUUAUUUCUUGGGGAUGAUAUUGUUUCCAAUGAAGAAAGCGAGGAUCCAUUCUAGACUAGCCAUAGUCACUAAAACUCUAAUAGAAGGAAUUGACGGACAACCAUUCAGUCUCGUAGAAAUGAUUAUUUCCAAAAUAUACCGAGCCUUAAAAAUGUUAAUGGGGAGCCGGACACUUCGAGGGUUGUAAUCUGCUACUUCAACUUUGGCUCGUGGAACAUCUCCAAAAAAGUGAGAACCGACGGUAAAUCCAUCGAAGGGAUUGGGAUGAUCAUAUCGCUUUUCAUCACCCGAAGCGAAUGAAUUACAUGCCCAACAUGUUUGACCAACAGGAAAAUACUAGACAAUGGGUCUAACUCUUUGAAAGUCUGAUUCAGGACCGAGUACAAUGGAUUGUCGAGUGGUUCCCAAUCGAGGAGUUCAUUUUCCGAUCUAGGGAUGCACCUUUCCUAAUAAUUAUCGACUUAAGAGGAACAUGCCCAUACACACCUCUUCGGGUCAUGAGACAAGCGAGAAGAAAGAAGAUUAUAUUAAAGGGUCGACAAGAUGAGUCACUUCCGGGCUGACUUCUAGAAUGACAAUAGCCCUUACAGAUAUUAGGCUCAGCACAUGUGGUAUUGCAAAAUCGUCAUGGGAAGGGAAACCAUUGAACCAAACAGAUACCACACGGGUUUUGAUCCUUAUUAAUCAGGUUGGUUGGAGGAUAAUCAUGAUAGUUGGGUUAACCCAGGUUUGUUCGAGGCAAUCGAAUCUUAGAUGAAAAGGCCGAGGCACAGGCCAAGUACAACCAUCUACCCAAAAAGAAAUUAAGAAUGCAAAAGAGAGCACCGUGAGAUACAGGAAGGCAAUCAAAAACUAAUUGAACAAUGGAAGGAUAUGGCCAUCAACACCAACAAAUGUUUGGUCUAUUUGGUGCGAGGUAUAGUAGAGUUGGAAAAGAAGUUUCUAAAGAAGGUCGAAGACUUCUGGACUGCUAAAGGAAAUGAAGGUGGACAUCUGGACAGAGACUACUUGCUGCGGGGACUAUGUAAGAUAGGGAAACUGUUCGAUGGAGCCGAUAAUGCUGAAUCAUGGAAAGGUCCCUUUGGGACCAAGUAGAUAGGAAUUUCCAUUUUAUAAAUGUACUAAGGCCAAUGGCCAUUAGUGAUUUUUCUAUUUAGUGUUUUUUGGGAUUUGUCUAGUUUUUAUCAAUGAAAUGAGGCAUUCAGCAUUCAAAGUUCUCCAAAUGAACUUGUUGAUAGGCCUACCUCAGGCACAAUGAGGCCCCAAAAUUAGAACACACUUUAUAUUUCAGCACUAUGUAUUUAAAUAUUGCAACAUAUUUCUACUGAUCUUCACUACCUUGUUACCUUUUUUGUUUUUAUUUUUAUUUAUUUCCCUCCCCAAAGGUUAGUUCGUGAAUUCUAAAUACAUCAUCAUAUCUUACGACCCUCCACCUACUCCUCCUCCCAGUUCUUCAUGCACAGAAACAAAAGGAAGAUGCAAUAUUUGAGCAACUCAACUGAAUGGAUAAAGGUCACUCAUGGUGCUAUGGUUCCAAAGGAAAAUGCAUCCCAAUUGGAACAAAAGUCGUUGAAGUUUCAGGAAGAAUUGGAUCAAGUCUUGAAUUUGGAAAGUUUGUCAUUUUCCCUCACCACUCCGUAGGUUAUUUUCCCAACUAAUCAUAAUCAUGUACCUCCACAAAACAUCCUGAAGCAACAAAACCACCCCGCUCCUCAUCACCACUUCAAUACUUGCCGUACCUCCAAUAACACCCUGCCAAUCAUCCUAGAACUCCACAACUCCACAAAUGACCACUGCCACACCCAACACAAUACCCUCAUCUACGUGGAAACUGUGUCACACUCCAUCCAACCCAUCUCAAGCACACCCAAGUUUGAUGAUAAAGACUCACUCAUCAGGAGCCUGGCCAUAAAACUAAGAAAUUGACUAGUCAAGUUCAGUAUGUCGAAGGAAGUAAAGGGACUGUGGGAUUAAACUACAAAGAGAUUUGCAUACAACCGGAUGUUGAACUACCUGAGGGGUACAAACCUCCUAAGGUCGAGAUGUUUGGUGGUACAGGGGAUCCGAGAGUUCACCUGAGAAAAUACUGCGACAAGCUGGUCGGUGUAGGAAAGAACGAAAGGAAUCACAUGAAGCUUUUCAUUAAAAGUCUGAAAGGAGAUGCUCUAUCUUGGUAAAUUAGCCAAGAAUCGAAGAAAUUGUCUAAUUGGGUGAGUAUGGCAUCAGAUUUCAUGGACAGGUUCAGGUUCAAUACAAAAACUGCACCAGAUGUGUUCUACAUUCAGAACCUAAAGAAGAAGCCCACGGAAACAUUCUGCGAGUAGGCCACUUAUUGGAGGUCAGAAGAUGCUAAAGUGAGGCCUACUCUAAUAGAAGAACAAAUGAACUAGUUUUUCGUUCGGGAUCUGGAUCCCUAAUUCCAUGAAAUAUUGAUGCUAAUUGAAGGCAAUAAAUUCUCUGACAUCAUCAAGCUAGGUAAGAGGAUCGGGAAAGGUAUUAAUAGUGGUGGUCACGAACUUUAAAGCUUUGCAAGCCACCAACAAGGCUUUAUAGUAUGAAGGUACGUCCAAGAAAAGGGACAUGAGUGUCGUAACGGUUGCAGAGAGGACAAAUCCCUUGUCAAGUGCCAAACCUACCCAAUACCUCCACUCACAUAUCAGCCUACUCUAAAUUACCAAGCAAACCUAGCUCCCACAUACCAACCCACUUCACCCAAUUCUCCCAUCCAGCACAUGUUUACUAGGCCUACAAUACUCAACCACCUCACUAUUAGUCACCUCCACCACAUCAAAACUUCCCUAGACUUCAACCAAAUUUUGACCGCAGACCACCCAAAAAGUAUAGCGCCAUUGUUCAACCAAUUGACCAGUUGUACGAAGGACUCAAAGUUGCUGGUUGUGUCACCCCUAUCCCUUCCAUAGCCCUAGAAAAUCCCUUUUAGUGGGUCUAUCCAAAUAAAUCAUGUGCAUACCUUUCCAACAUGAAAGGAUAUACCAUUGAUGAAUGCCGCUCUCUGAAGGAUAAGAUUCAGACUUUGAAUGAAAAUAAGAUCAUUAUAGCAAAGGAACUUGCUCUGAAUGUCUCUAAUAACCCUCUGCCAAACCACAAGGGUGGAGGUAUCCACAUGAUCGAGAUAGAGUAUGACUGGGACCCCAAGGAAUCGAUCGGUUUGAUCACAGAAGUCAACAAUCCAAAGGAGCCAGUAAUCACCCUUAAUUCGAUUGUAGUCCAGAUUCAACCUUUUGGAGACACUAAAGUAAAUAUGUCCAUGCCAUUCAGGUUUCAAGCACCAUCCUCUGCAAAAAUGCCAACUGGUUGAGGUUGAGUUUAUGUCACCAACAAACAUACCUAUAUCCUUUGAACACGUAGUGUUACCGCCUAAGGGCCUACUCCGUUCGGAGUAUAGAUAGUCGUGCCAAUCCCAGUGGCAAUGUCGACAAGGACACCAUUCCACACAAAGGCCAUACCUUAGGACAACACAACCUAGGCAAGAAGAACGGGAAAAGUCAAGUUCGGGGAAGCCGUAGCAGCACAGGGUAUGACAAAAACCAGCAAGGUUGAUAAUUCGGAACAUUUAGCGGAGUCGAGUAGGCGGGCCCCCAAUCGGCCGAUCGUCACUGAAACUAGGCCCGAUGAUCGCUGGAGAAAGAUACAAGCCAAUGAAUACUUAGUCAUUGAUCAACUAAAUAAAACACCACCACAGAUAUCCAUCCUUGCUUUGCUACAAAGUUCCGAUGCACAUAAGUAUGAUUUGUUAAAGGUGUUGAGUGAGGCAUAUGUACCGAGUAACAUCACCUGUGGAGAGAUGGAUAACAUGGUAGGCCAGGUAUUGGAAAGUCACAAGAUUACUUUUCAUAAAGAUGAGCUGCCCCUAGAAGGUUUGAGUCACAACAAGGCAUUGGAUAUCACCGUGCAAUACGAAGAUUAUUUUAUCACUAUAAUCUUGAUUAACGGAGGGUCCAGCCUCAACAUUUGUCCAUUGAUAACACUCAGAACAUUAGGAAAGGGGAUACACGAGAUCAAGGAUAGGGCCAUUAACAUCAAAGCUUUCGACGGAUCCCAAAGGUCCACCAUUGGGGAAAUUAGCUUGUGUAUGCAAAUGGGGCCUACUUCGUUUAAUGUUGACUUUCAAGUGAUAGACAUGUCGUCCUCUUACAAUCUGUUGGGAUGACCAUUGAUUCAUGCUGUUGGGGUCAUAGCAUCAACAGUACAUUAGGUGGUGAAGUUUGAGUGGAACCACCAAGAGGUGAUCAUUCAUGGAGACGGUAGCACUCCUAUAUAUAGUCGCAGACCAUUUCAACAAUUGCAGGAAGGAGAAGGAUAGGUGGAGAAAAUUACCACCACAUCGAGCGCGUCAAUGCCGUUGAUAAAGAAAAAUGGAGGGAUGACAAGAUUGAAAGCAUACUGAACUGGAGCGGGUAUGAACCCGGCAAGGGACUUGGCAAGAACCUCAAAGGAAUCGCUAAGCCUACCAAGCUCAAGAAACAUGACACCGCUUUCGGAUUGGGAUAUGAGUAUAGCCAGAGGAAUUCAACCACUGGUCACCACCACGGCGUGGUCCUUACUAUCAUUUGGAACAGCCAAUACCCCAUUUGGAGCAGACUUUCUAGCCGGCCGAGGUUGUCUACGGGUUAGAAGAAGAGGAAGCACUGGCAGCGAAAAGGAAUUUGUUCCUAGAAAAUGACGUCAUGGAUUGUUGUGCCAUUUUCGAGGAGGAAAGGAAGGAAGGCCCUUACAUACAAGCUGUGAGUGGAGGAGCAUGCCUUAACAACUAGACAAUCAAAACCACUAUAGCCCGACGAGCCUCGGGGUAGCAAGGCUGAACAUAUAUCAUGCACCAUUUUUAUUUUUACUAGUUGACUUUUAUUUUGCAUUUUUAAAUUUUCGGCAAGAAAGAUCACCAAUGUUCAAAAAUAGUUAUUGAAUUUAUCAAAGCAUUUCAAUUUUCUUAUAAAUCUUACUCUUAUUAUUUUCUCUCAUUACUUUACUGAUACAACAUUACUAUUACUUAUUUUGAUGAACCAAUGACUGUGACGUGCAACAAGACAACGCAACAAAAGAAUAUACUCGGAGGAAGAUGAUAUACCAAAGGAGAUUAUUAAGGAAGUUGAGAAUAUCAAGAACAGACCUAAGCCCAACUUGGACGAGACUAUGAUUGUUAACCUGGGAAAUACAGAAAACAUCAAAAACAACAUGAGUCAGCGUUCAUUUGUCACCCUUAGAAAUGAAGAGUACAUAUAAUUUCUAAGACAGUAUAAAGACAUAUACACAUGGUCGUAUGAUGAAAUGACUAGGCUGAGCACAUCUAUUGUGGCUCAUAAAUUGCCAACAGGCCCAACAUGCCCACUAGUAAAGCAGAAACUCAAAACGUUCAAGCCCGACAUUAGUUUGAAAAUCAAGGAAGAAUUCACUAAACAAGUCAAAGCUAAAGUUCUGAAGGUAGUUGAAUAUCCGACAUGGUUAGACAACGUUGUGCCAGUGUCAAAGAAAGACGGGAAGGUUAGAGUUUGUGUCAACUACUGGGAUAUCAACUGAGCCAGUCCAAAGGACGACUUUCCUUUGCCGAACAUACAUAUGACAACUGCACAAAGCAUGAGUUGCAGUCAUUCGUAGACUAUUUUGUUGAUUAUCAUCAGAUCUGGAUGGACUAACAAUAUGUUGAGAAAACGGCUGUUAUUAUGCUGUGAGGGAUGUACUGCUACAGGAUGAUGCCUUUUGGGUUAAAAAAUGCAGGGGCCACCUACAUGAAGCCAUGACUACUAUUUUCCAUGAUAUGAUACACAAGGAGAUAAAAGUGUAUAUGGAUGAUGUCAUUAUCAAGUCCAAAAAACAACUUAUAACAUGGAAGAUUUAAGAAAGUGCUUCAAUAGGCUGAGGAGGUACACCUGAAGCUGAAUCCCAGGAAAUGUGCAUUUAGGGUUCCAGCCAGAAAGUUGCUCGGCAUUAUCGUGAGUCGCCGAGGAAUAAAACUAGAUCCAUCGAAAGUCAAAUCCAUUCAAUAAUUCCCACUACCAAAGAACAAGAAGGACGUAAUGAUCUUCUUGGUGAGACUCAACUACAUCUGCCGGUUCAUAGCACAAUCUACUAUCAUCUGCAAAUCAAUCUUCAAGAUGUUGAAAAGGAUGUCGCCACCAAGUGGACCAAUGAAUGCCAAAAUCUUUCAAUCGAAUCAAGAAAUAUUUGUCAACACCGCCGGUCUUUGUCCCGCCUGAACCAAGUAGACCUCUACUACUCUACCUUGCAAUAUUGGAUGGAGCAUUCGGCUGUGUCCUGGGGCAGUAUGAUAAGACGGGAAAGAAAGAACAAGCUAUUUACUACCUCAGCAAAUAGUUCACUCCAUACGAGGCCCAGUAUUCCCUGAUAGAAUUCACCUGUUGUGCUCUAACUUGGGUAGCUCCAAAGCCGAGGCAUUACUUCUGUGCCUAUAAUACGUAUCUCAUAUCAAUGAUGGAUCCUCUAAAGUACAUCUUCCAUAAGCCCAUGCCCAUGCCCACUGGCAAGCUAGUCAAGUGGGAAAAUCUUAUUGAGUGAAUUUGACAUUGUCUAUGUGACUUAGAAAAUAAUCAAAGGACAUGCACUAACAGAUCACUUGCCUAGAAUCACGUGCACGGAGAAUACGAACCACUAAAGACGAAUUUUCCUGACGAAAAGGUAUCAUUCAUAGGAUAAGAUAUCGCAGAAUCCUAUGAUAGGUGGAGAAUGUUUUUUAAUGGAGCAGCAAAUUUCAAAGGAGUCUGCAUAGGGUCGGCCCUAGUAUCAGAAACCGGUCAGCAUUAUCCAGUGUCCGCUAAACUCAGGUUCCCUUGCACUAACAACAUGGCCAAAUACGAGGCCUGCAUCAUAGGGCUCAAGAUGGCCAUUGACAUGAACAUACAAGAUUUGCUAGUAAUUGGGGAUUGAGACUUGAUUAUACAUCAUGUCUGAGAAUAAAAGGCAACAAAGAACUCCAAGAUACCCCCUUAUCUGAACCACGUGCAGGCGUUGAGAAAGAGGUUUACAAAGAUAGAGUUCCAGCAUGUUCCCAGAAUCCAUAAUGAGUUUGCUGAUGCAUUAGCUAUCGCAUCGUCCACGAUACAUCAUCCAGAUACAAACUUCAUUAAUCCUAUUCCGGUGAGGAUCUAUGAUCAGCCAGCCUACUAUGCUCAUGUUGAACAGGAAGCAGAUGGAAAGCCUUUGGUUCAUGACAUCCGGGAAUAUUUGGCAAAAGGAGAAUAUGCAGAGCUUGCAAAUCUUACUACAAACGCACACUUCGAAGGUUGGCCAACAAUUUCUUUAACAACGGAGGAAUCCUGUACAGGAGAACUCCUAUUUUGGGGUUGUUAUAGUGUGUCGACGCAAAUGAAGCAUCUAAGCUUCUAGAAGAAAUCCACGCUGGGACCUGCGAUCCACAUAUGAACAGUUUUGUCUUGGCUGACAAAAUACUUCGGGCUAGUUUCUUUUGGAUGACUAUGGAAAUAGACUACAUCCAGUAUGUUUGGAAAUGCCACCACUAUCAGGUACAUGCAGACAUGAUCAAGGUUCCCCCAAAUGAGCUUAAUGCAACAAGCUCCCCAUGGUCAUUUGCUGCAUGGGGAAUGGAUGUUAUUGUACCAAUCGAACCUGCCAUUUCCAACGGACAUAGGUUCAUCCUAGUAGCAAUUCAUUAUUUCACAAAAUGGGUCGAAGCAGCAUCCUAAAGGGCAGUGACUAAGAUAGUUGUGGUGGACUUCGCCCGCAACCAUAUUGUAUGUCGGUUCAAAAUUUCGGAGUCAAUCAUUACUGAUAAUUUUUCUAAUAUCAACAGUGAAUUGAUGAAAGCUAUGUGUGAGACCUUCAAGAUCAAACGCGAGAAUUCAACAGCCUACAGACCUCAGAUGAACGGAGCUGUAGAAGCCGCCAACAAAAACAUCAAGAAGAUAUUGAGGAAAAUGAUAGAAAAGCAUAAACAAUGGCACGAGAAGCUAUCAUUUUCUUAUUAAGGUACCGCACCACAGUUCACAGAUCAACUGGGGCAACCCCCUACAUGCUGGUAUAUGGUACAGAAGCAGUCAUUUCGGCUGAAGUAGAGAUCCCGUCCUUGAGGAUCAUACAAGAAGUCGAGCUCAACGAUGCAGGAUGGGUAAAGACUCGUUACGAGCAACUAGCUCUUAUAGAUGGAAAGAUAUUUAAAUUGAUUUUAACUUUAUCGGAACAGAAUGACCAGAGCCUUCAAAAAAAGAUUCAAGCCAAGACGGUUCAUACCAGGGCAAAUGGUUUUAAAGAAAAUUUUCCCUCAUCAAUAUGAAGCCAAAGGUAAAUUCUCUCCCAAUUUGCAGGGUCUAUACAUGGUCCAUUGGAUUUUGACAGGAGGAGCCCUUAUACUUGAAAAAAUGGAUGGGGAAGUUUGGCCAAAGCCGAUCGAUUCAGAUGCAAUCAAGCGCUACUACGUGUAAUCUUCCAUUUUCCUAUAUGAUAUAAUUUGAAAUACGUCUGACCUGAUUCCCUUUAAGAGGAGAUAUGUAGGCAGCCCUAUGGGUUCGGUCACAAUUCAAUAAAAUUUUCAUUUUCCCCGUAGUUGGAAACUACGGCAUAAUUUUGAGGAGGACCCUCAAAAUUCGGAAGUAAUUUCACCCGACCAUCACAAGCAAUCGUUAGAAGCAGCAACCCAGUAAACUAGGGCUGAAUUUUGAGGAGCACCCACAAAAUUCUGAAGCAAGAGAGGUUCCGACGUCCUGAACCACGUCACAUAUAUCAGUUCAUCCAAAACUAUUUAAAAUAUAUAAUCAUAUCAUAUUUUAAACAAAUUCAUGCAUAUUUUAUUGUCAAAAUCGGCUUGUUCAGCAACGCUACCCCGAUGAUAAAUACAACACCAUCAGAUCAAAGCUAGACAAGGCAAGCAUAGUCGGAGGGGACACGAACUAACCUUUCCCAUUUUCCAAAAUUCAUGAUUUUUCUUUGGAUGCAAGAACCCAGGUCGUAAAGUAACAUAUUAUGCAAUCAGGAUAACAACACUUAGAACCAUCGCACCUUUCGCAUUCACUAUCCAAUACCCCCAGCAAUCAUGAUAUCGCAAUCAGCUAAGAAAUUUCAUUACAAUUCUUUCUUUAUUUCCUACAUAAGGCUACCAUUGUGUCUUUUGAGACUGAGCUCUAUCUCCAUAUGCAUUCUUGGAUUGCAUGUGCCUACUAUUAUUCCUUCUGAAGUUAAGCACUACCUCCAUCUUCAUUCUUGCAUUGCAUAAGGCUACUAUUCUGCCUUACGAGGUUAAGCUCUACCUCCAUAUGCAUUCGCUGCAUUGCAUAAGGCUAUCAUGUCGCCUUCCGAGAUUAAGCUCUGCCUCCAUCUACAUUCCCUGCAUUCCAUAAGGCUACCAUUCCGCCUUCCGAGGUUAAGCUCUACCUCCAUCUGCAUGGCUGAAAUAUCACCAGUUUAUUUACACUUUGCAUGGCUAAAAUCUCGCAACUUUAUUUCUAUUUGCAUUGGCUGAAAGAUUGCCACCUCAUUUGUAUUUUGUAUUGGCCGAAUGUUUUCCACCUUAUUGCAUCAGCUGAAAGAUAACCACGUCAUUGCAUUGGCUGAAAGAUCGUCACCUUAUUGCAUCGGCUAAAAGAUCACCACCUCAAUACAUUGGCUAAAAUAUCACCAUCUCAUUUAUAUUUCCCAUUGGUUGAAAGAUCGCCACCUCAUUGGAUCGUUUGAAAGAUUGCCACUUUAUUGCAUCGGCUGAAAGAUUGCCACCUCAUUGCAUUGGAUGUAAGAUCGCCACCUCAUUGCAUUAGCUGAAAGAUUGCCACUUCAUUUACAUAUUGUAUCGGCAGAAAUAUCGCCACUUAUUGCAUUUUGCAUUAGCUUAAAGAUCACCACCUUCUGCAUCUCAUAGGCUGAAAGAUCGCCAAACUGUCCAAAAGCUUCAUUAUUUGGCGGCACCAUCUUCAAAGCUCGAGAACGCCAUUCUAUGGCCUGAGGGCCCCUUUUUUAUCUCUUGAAUAUUAUUAUUCAAAGGCAUCAUGGCUCGGAGGCAUCAUCCUCACUGCCUAAGGGCAUCAUCUCAUGGCUUGUGAUUCCCUUAUUAUACGCUUCAUGACCCAGACAUCAUGGUCUAAGGAUGUCAUCCUAACCGUCCAAAGACAGCAUUCAUGGUUCAACAGGAACUUGCAUCAUAUUUAGAUUUAUGCACAAUAUGUGUUUGUAUUAUUUAUUUGCAGGUAAAUCCGCAAGUGAUGGCUAUCUCAGCAAGAGCGAUCCCGCUCUAGUUCUUGCAGCCCUAUUAGACUUUAACCAUCCACCCUAACCUAAACGUUGCAUCCGUUCUUGGAAAACCAUCGGUAUACUCAACCGGCGGAUCUUGAACUACAAAUGGACUGAUUCCUGUAAGACCAUGGAUAUGUAGGUAGCUCAGAAACUAGAGCAUGGUCAACCUUUUCAAACCACUUUGCCUGGUAAAAAAUUGGCCAUCAUAUCUUUACCCGACAACUUUUUCAUCCUUCUCGGGUAAAGAGGGGCAGCUGUUGAUACCCAAGUCUUUACUAUAUAUUUUUAUAUGAAAAAUACUUUAAAAAUAGUAUAUAUCUAUAUAUGCAUACAUAAUCAUGUCCAAGUAUCUUAUUAUUAUUCCAAUUUUUUAAAGGAUUUGUAAAAUGAUAUAUUGCCCUAUUUUAGCAAUACAAAAACCAAUAGGUGUUCCUCAAAUUAUCAUUUUGAUGAUUAAAUUAUUUUAUUCUUAUAUUUAUGCAAUAUAUAGCUAAGGUAAUUUUUUGCACAUAUUUAUAAACUGAUUUGGUAUUUUUAAGCUAAAAUUGCACUAAAUUGCAAUUCUAGCCUAUUUUAUUAUUUAAAUAGCAUGUAUAAUUAUAACAUUUACUCCAAUAUUUUCAAUUUAAUGUUUAUAUACUAUUAAUUAAAUUAGUGCCUUCAAUUUGUUUCAAAAAUCAUUUUUGUUAUUUUUAUAAAUUAAUAAAAGAAAAGAAAAAGUGGCUAUUUAAAUGAUAGCCUUAUUUUAUUUCAAUAAUAACCAAAAUCAACCACCCGAAAAUGCAAUUUCAAUCUCAAACCGGACCAGCCCAAUUCCUAUAUAACCCGAACCCUAACCCAUUAAUAAAACCCGCCCGGUCUUUCUUUUGAUCCAGGUCAUCGACCAAUUGUGAUCUACGGCCACGAUACCCCUUACCAUUUUAAUUCACCAAACCCCAACCGUAAUUCAUUUUCCUUCAAAGACUCCACAUUGAAACUCCUUUCUAUCUCAUACUCUCGCGAACCUUCCUCAACCUUAAUCGUCUCCUAUAAUCUUCAACCUUAAAACCCACCGGAAACCACGGCUUCUCCGGCUAUGGUAGUCUUGUACUCACCUCUUGUUAACACAUAUGCGCUCAAUGCUUGAAGAAUCGAGGCCAUACCUCGAAAGUAUUCAUCCAGACCUUCUCUGGCUCGAGGUUUCACGACCAUCGUCGGCUUUGCUUCGGCGUAUUCUGUUCUUCUGAGCCUGAUUCUUAGUUCUUCGACUCCAAUCGGUGACCUUUUAAAGCCUUUCUUAUUUUAGGUUCUAAUAAAACCCCUUGAGCCUUUUCUCUUAUCUUUCUAGAUUUAUUGUGUAUCUAUGCUCUAUUUGAGUUCUCAAACACUUUUCUUGGCUUUGUUUUAAAAAAAAUCACUCUAAAUAAAAAAUCGCCUCUUUCCGAUCUGGGGUUUCUGAAAUGUUCAAAUGUUUCUAUGAUUUUUGCUUUUUGUUUAUGUGUAUUUGUUUCUAUUAUGUUCUUGUCGCAUGUUCUUAUAUGUUUCUCUUGCUAAGUGUUCCUAUAUUGCGGUCUCUUAAGACCCUACUAUGCUCUUGUGUCCCUCUGUUAUGGUUUCUAUAUCUUGUUCUUCUACUAUAUCUUGUGUUUUCUCUCUAUCAUGAUCUUAUAUGUUUAUCAUAUUGUGUAUUCCUAUAUGUUCUUUUGUUAUGAUUUUUGCUAUUCCUGUGUUCUUCUACUGUAUUUUUUUUUACUAAAUUCUUAAGUCUCUUUGUUUUCUCUUUUACAAAACCCUGUUUAAGUCCAUUCGGAAAGGAUUUUUCUUAAGCAUGUUUCUUCAACUAUAACGUUGUUCUUUGCGUUUGCUUUGAACCUUCUACUGUGUUUGCAUAUGUUCUCAUGAGGUUCUGAAAGAAACUCGUGAGCCUGUUUCGACUACUUGCUUCCUCAUCUCUGUAUUUGAUUCAAGGUGAAAAUCGUAGAAUUUGGGGGUUAUGCCGAGGUUUGGUCAUGUGAUUGAACUAGGGUUCUAUUUUUGAACUCUUGACUCUCUCAGAAUAACUUUUGAGUUUCUGAACCAAGUUUGGACUUCUUUAUUUCUUCUAUACUAGACUCUUCUACUGAUUGGCAUGAAAAUUCUUUCAUGUUUAAGUGUUUCUGCAAACUUUAUAUGUGUGAUAAUUCUUUUUUCAAAAGGUUUUCGAACUAGUGAUUGAUUCAGAAUCUCCUUUUAAUAGUUCUAAUUGAUUGUUACUGAUGCUCCUUAUGUAAUAACUUUUUCCACCUUUUUGUCUUGGUUCAUUCAUACCAAAUCUUUGGAUUUCUGAUUUCGUGGUUGUUAAUUGAUUUUCUUUCCUUAAAUUGUACGGGCGUGUAUGUCUAAGAUCAUGUCCCUAAAUAAUCCUUAUGUAUUUUCCCUCAAUUGCACGCUUUGCACAAAAUGUUUAUUUAAAUCCUCUCCUUAAAUGGUUUUACCCGUUUGAUUUUGAGUCCCUUAAUUAAGGGAAACCUUGUGUAAUUGAUUUACAAUCAGUCUUCAGUUAUUCUCUUACCUUGUUUGCUCAUGACUUUUACUAUAAAUACAUGACCUUUUUUAAUACAAAUCACACACGAUUAACACACUUUAGACUCUCACACGCUUAAAGUAUUUUGUCUUCCUAUUUGCACUUUGGCUUUUACAAGACUGUUGCUUUUCUUACUUGUUUCGUUGACGUUGGUGUGUCCUAAUUUGUUAAAUUAAGCAGCACCCUAAUAUGUUUACUUACAGUCUUUAUAUGCAUGUCUACUUUACUGUCUAUGUAAACAUCAAAUAUCUAACUUACUAUGCUUGUGUUCUACUACCUAUCCCAUUACCCCAAUGUGAUUGUGAGUGGUGACUUAGGGCUUGGAAACAUGAAUUGUUAUCCAUGAACUGAGAUUUAAACCAAUGAGGUUUAACCUCUAAAAAGGCUAGAGGGUGUACCAGCAUAUCCCAUUACUAGGUAUGUCUAUCAACCUUCUUUUCUUGUGUUCUUGAAAAUUCCCCACUCCCUUUUUAUACCCAAUGUGCACUGAUUUUAAGUUAUUCCCUUGUCCUUUCCUUUUUCCCCUUUCGGAAUUUCACUUUUGCACUUGCACUCUCCCUCUUAGUUCCUAGGUUCUGCCCCUCCCCCCUCUUGUGCGCCUUUCCUUGGGACCUUGGCUUUCCUCUUAACUUGGAGACACGAGGACUGGCCACUUCCACACUACACUAUCUCUUAACCCCAUUAUGCAUUUUGGUGUGAGCACUGCCCGGAGUCCAUGUGAGGCUCUUAGGGAACUCUGACAUAUCCAAAUGAGAGAAAGGCUUCGCAACAUUGAUCAUCGGAGUUGGUUUACUUCAUAAAUUAGACAGGGAGUCUGAAUCAGGCUUUCCUUGGUUUUAACUUUUAGAUUUCUGAUGUAUUUUUCUACUUUAUUUUUUUGGGUUGUAAUAACUUUGUAUAACUUUCGGGGAUGGUUGUUGAUACCCAUUUUGUUUCUAUGCAUUUAUAUAUGCUAAAUACUUUCAACCGAGAGGUAGUGAGUUCGAGUCUCCCCAAGAGCAAGGUGGGAAGUUCUUGGAGGGAAGGAUAUCGGGGUUCUAUUUGGAAACAGCCUCUCUACCCAAGGGUAGGGGUAAGGUCUGUGUACACACUACCCUCCCCAGACCCCACUAAGUGGGAUUAUAUUAGGUUGUUGUUGUUGUUGUUGUUGUUGUUUCAAAAUAACAUAUAAAUGUAUAUAUAUAAGCAUAUCCAGGUAUUUUAGUAUUUUUCCUAAUUUUUUCAAAAUAUUUUAAAAUCGAUUUAUUGUCUAUUUUAACAGUACAAAAUCCAUAAUUAUUCCCAACAUCAUCAAUUUUGGUGAAUAAUUUAUUUUAUGUCCAUAUUAACACCAAAUAAAUUUUAGUGUUUUUUGUAUAUUUUUACAGAUUUAUCUACUAUUUUUAAAGCUAAAUUGCAUAUAAUUGCUUUUUCCAAUUUUAAGAUUAAUAGCAUUUCUAUAAUUGUAAAAAAAAUUGAUAUUUUUAAUUUAAUAUUUAUGUAUUAUUAAUUGGUUCAGUACUUUUAAUUUGCUUUUACAAUCUUUUUACUAUUUUUAUAAAAUAAAAAAACUGGUUAUUCAAAUACUAGACUCUAUUUUAUUUCAAUUAUAGCCUAAAUUAACCCCCCCCCCCCAAUCAACCCAAUUUUAAUUUUUAAUGGGCCAGCCCAAAUCCUUAUUUAACCCAAGUUAACCCGUUUAUCUAACCCGCCCGAUUUCCUUUAAAUCCAGGUCGUUGAUCCUUUUGAUCAACGGCCACAAUUACCCCUUCCUUUUUUAAUCCCCCAACUUUACCUUAAUUCCCUCAUUUCCAUUUGGUCUGCCUCUAAUAUGCCUUUACUCUCAAACUCUCUUGAACCCUCUCGAAACCAUAGCCUCUCUCACCAUGUCCUACCUCAAGCUCACCGGAAAUCAUGGCUCCUCCGGCCAUGAUAACCAUAUACUCACCCCUAUUACUCCUGUGUGAUUGAUAUUUAAAGAAUCAAAUCCUGACCUCGAUGGUUUUCUUUUAGAUCUUCUUGGAUCUAUGGUUUUAUGGCCUCUCCGGCCUUUUCUCCGGCAUAUUCAAGCCUCACGAGCCUAAUUCUCACUCGCCCGACCCUAGGAUCUGACUUUUCCAAUCCUUUCUCAUUUUUAGGGUUUCUCCGAAACCCUAAGUUGUUCGAGGUUUUUCUCCGUUUAUUUUUGUUAGAUCUAUAAUGUAUUUGUUCUUUACAUGACUUUUAAAGUGUUUUCCCAAAAAAAUUUCUUUUAAAAUCGUUUAUCUUCGAAUUAGGGUUUCUAAAAGGUUUUCAAAAUAUCUUUUGAUUCUUCCUUCUCUUCUCUUUAUGAGUAUUUGCCUAUUUUAUGCUCGUGUGUUUUCUUUUUAACACAUGUGUCGUUCUUCUGCUCUUAUUUUUCUACUAUACUUGAUACUUUUGUGCUUUUUAUUCUACCGUGCCUCUAGACUAGGAUCACAUGCUAAUCUCUACUAUAUUUUCCUACAUUUUCUUUGCUAUUCUUUCUAGUAUUGUUCAAUUGUAUGUAGCUCCUGCUAAGUUCUUUCAUAUUUUUUGCUUUACUGGAUUUUGUUCGAGUUCCUGCCGAGCAUGUUUCAUCUACUUUUCUUAAGACUGUAUUAACUCUCCUCCUUUCAGAAUUAGUUUAAAGUCCCUAACUUUUCUUAAAUAUGUUCUUUAUGCUCUUACAAACAACUCUUUCACUCUGUCAUUUCAAAGUUGCUAUCACAUCUGUUUGUUCUCAUAAGUCUCUGAAAGAGACUUCAAUGCCUUUAUCAGUGGCUUGCCUUCCUGUAUCUUUAUCUGAUUCAAGUGGAAACCCUGAGAUUUAGGGUUUUCUUUUGGCAAGUUUUAUUUUCUGAUUGGGUUCUACUUUGGAAUCCUGGAAUAUCUGACUCAUUCCUAGUCUAUGAACUAAUUUUAAGUCUCUUUGUUAUGACUCUGAACUCUUUUUUUUCAUGCUUGUCUUUUCUAAUUAGCAUGAUAUUCUCUUCUUGAUUCACAUAUUUGUAUGCUUUAUAUAUGAGAACUCCUCUAUCAAAUGGUUUUUCCAACUAAUUAAUCGAUUCUGAAAUCCUCUAAUGGGGUUUGAUUGAUUGCUACUGAUUUUCCCUCAUUGAAUCCUUUUUACCUAUUCCUGACUUGGUCCAUUCGAGUUAAGCCUAUAAUUUAUAUUGUACUAGUUAUUUGAUUGAUGUUUUUUCCUUUUUCUUUUACCAACCGUACACCAUUGGAUUUUGGCCUUAAUUAACUACUAUGUAUUUUCCCUUCUUGUGUUACUUUGGAAAUAUUUUAAUCAAACUCUUUCCUUAAAUGUCUUCUACCCGUUUGAUAUCAAAAUCCCUUAACUAAAGGGAGACUUUAUAUGAUUGAUUGUAAAUUAUUUUCUUACCUUUUCUUACUUGUCCUUUGCACAAUAACAGGGGCAUGACCCUUCUGCAUUUAAAAAAUAACGGGAAACCUUCGAUUCAAUAUGCAUAUUCUUAUGCACACUCUCUAUUACAAUAUUCUUUCAAUCCUCUGCUCUCUUCGGAGAUAUUUUGUACUGCUUUCUUGCAAUUUGAUCUACAAGACUUCUGCUCUUACUUGUUUAGUUUCCCUAAUAUUGGUAUGUUCUAAUUUAGUUUCAGCAAUCAUCCCAAUAUGUUUAUUUAUAUCUUCUGCAAUCUUGUUUGAUUUACGAUUCAUGCUUAGUGAUUAACGUGUAUGCUAUUUUCUUUGUAACUAUUUUUUAUGGUGAAUUCAUACACCACUAUUCCCCUAUAUGUGUUUGAGUUAGGGUUCAAAGCCUGACAAUAUCCAAAUUAUUGCUCAGAUAUGAACAGGAUCCUCAAUGGGUCCUAACUCCCAAACUUAGCUAAUAGACUGGUCAGGGGUGUGCCAGCAUGCCUAAUACCUGGGCAUGACCACUAGCCUAUCAUGGCCUUCCCUAACUCCCUCUAUGCACUUACACUUAUUCUUAGACUCUAAGUUCUGCUCCCCUCCUAUAAGCCUUGCCUUGGGACCUAGAGUUCCCUCUAAACUUGGACAUUUGAGGGCUGGCCCUUCCAUACUAUACUAUAAUAUGCUUUUGUAAUGUAUUUGGGUUGUAAGCACUUCCCGGAGUCCCCCUUGAGGCUCUUGGGAACUUUUAUACACCCCAAAUAAGAUAAAGGCUUUGGGAAAUCCUGAUCUUUGGAGUUGGUUCAUCUCAUAUUUUAGACCUUGAGUCUGAAUUAGGCUCUUUGGUUGUAGUAUGAUUUCUAAUGUAUCUUUUUUACUUUGGUCCGUAAUAAGUUGUAAUAACUCAAGGGGUAUAUAGUGAAAAAGGGAAGAGUCACUCAUAUAUGCAUGUGGGUAGACAUCAUGUUCUUAGGCAUUUAUUUUUGCAAAUCUCAUUUUGCCUACUAAUUAUGCAUUUCAUGUCGAAAUCCUGUCUAUACGUUUGUUUCACUACUGCAUUAGAAAUCCUGCCGAUAAGUUAUGAAUUUCAUGUAGAAAUCCUAUAAGUUGUUUCAGUAUUGCAUUAUAAAUCUUGCCUAUAUGUUAUGCAUUUCAUGUAGAAAGCUGGCCUAUAAGUUGUUUCGUUGUUGCAUUAGAAAUCUUUCCAAUAAGAUAUGCAUUAGAAAUCCUGCCUAUAAGUUGUCUUACUUUUGCAUAUAACCAUGGCUAUAGGUUUCUGCAUCCUUGCAUCAUAUAGAUAACUUGCCUAUAGGAGCUUUUCAAUUCUGCAUUUACAUCCAUCAUUAGGCAAACGAUUUAUAGGUUAAAAAUCAAAAUUCUGGUUUAUAGACACCUUGCCUAUAGGAUUCUCGCACUUCUAUAAAUAUUUCAAAAUCAAUCACGCCUAGAAAGUAUGUCUAUAAAGAUAAUCAAUUGAAUCUAAAUCAAGCCUAAAAAUCAGUAAUAAUGUCAUCUAGUACCUGCAAGUUUUAUAUUUUUACAAUUAGUAAGCCUUCCUUAAAACCAGUACUCUCCCACGUUGUUGGAUAUCAUGUCUAUAGGUCUCAUAUAGGCAAGCCAUUAGGUAAUUAAUUAAUGGCAUCGGUCUUUGAUAAUUACAAAUAGGAGUAGGCCUAAUUCAGACUUCUUAUCUGAGAAAUAUGUGAUAAACCAGCCUGUUUUCACAUUUAAGUUUAAUUAAAGACGUAACCAAUACCUGUAAGCCAUGCUAUACAACUUGCUUCAUUGAAUAAGGAGGCUUGUCUGAGCCUUUAUUUUGCUAUGUGUUUCCUCUUUUACUAUCUUAUGUGUUUUUAUUUGUCGCACUAGACUUUUGUCCUCUUAAAACUCUUAAGAGUCAAUCUCCCUUCCCUUUUAGAACUAGUAGACCCAACUGCCUUAAGGUACUGAUAGGAUUGGGACGGGUAAUAGCAUGCAAUAAGUAACGAGGCCAAUUCGCGAUUUAAUACCUUAACAGGGUGGGUAAAUGGUAGACAUGGAUAUGAUGACCACAUGAUAACACCACAUGUAUAAAUGGUUACCGAGUGUUGCGUGGGUGAUCCAUGUUAUUUAUAAAUCUAGGACCCCUUCCUCCUUAUUUGUUUACUUCCUUUUCCUGAAAGUUUUUAGCUAUUGACUCUCAGUUCUUUAAACUUCCUCUUUUACUUCAGUCACUUAUAGUCUCUUUUUUUUUUACUUUUUCCAACACUGUUUCUUCUCCAAACUUCCGCCUUUUUACUCCUUUUUCUGGUUAUCUUAACCCCCCCCCCCCCCCCNNNNNNNNNNNNNNNNNNNNNNNNNNNNNNNNNNNNNNNNNNNNNNNNNNNNNNNNNNNNNNNNNNNNNNNNNNNNNNNNNNNNNNNNNNNNNNNNNNNNNNNNNNNNNNNNNNNNNNNNNNNNNNNNNNNNNNNNNNNNNNNNNNNNNNNNNNNNNNNNNNNNNNNNNNNNNNNNNNNNNNNNNNNNNNNNNNNNNNNNNNNNNNNNNNNNNNNNNNNNNNNNNNNNNNNNNNNNNNNNNNNNNNNNNNNNNNNNNNNNNNNNNNNNNNNNNNNNNNNNNNNNNNNNNNNNNNNNNNNNNNNNNNNNNNNNNNNNNNNNNNNNNNNNNNNNNNNNNNNNNNNNNNNNNNNNNNNNNNNNNNNNNNNNNNNNNNNNNNNNNNNNNNNNNNNNNNNNNNNNNNNNNNNNNNNNNNNNNNNNNNNNNNNNCUCGUUCCUACACUUGUAUAUCCUUUAAAUAAGUAAUGAGAUUACCUACUUCCAAAUUUUGGUAUGCUUUUAACUUGUACACUUUCCUUGUUGCAAUCAUUAUGUGAAAGUUGUCUUGUUUGUUUAUUUUCUUAUAUUACAAGUCACAAUUGUAGCAUGGUCGGGAACCACACUAGUGGAUCUCAACGAGUGCCUAACACCUUCCCCUCGAGAUAAUUUCAAGCCAUAUCCAUUCUCUGGUUCUUCUUCUUUUAAGGUGAAUUUCUUCGUAGUGUCCUAAUGAACUUAAUUAUUAGGUGGCUACUCUUCUAGAUUGCAAACCCAAUUCCCAAAAGGAAAAGAGUUGUCCGCCCAAAUGUUAUGAACCCGAUUUCGCGAGAAAAAGGGGGCGUCAAUAGCAUGACAACUCUGCUGGGGAUUUUCUUUAGGCUUUUACCAUUUCAUGAUACUCGUGACUUUACUGGUUCUUUAUUGCCUUCAUUUAGCGUCUUUAUCUCUCUUAUACAACGUAAUUGACUUGUCUCUUUGUUUCUUUUCUUUAAUGCUUUCUUUUUCCGCUUUCCUUCAAUACUAUUGUAAUUAUGAGCAAUUAUUGUAAUUAUUACUUUAUGAACAUGACAAUUUGUUUCAUUCUUGUAAUUGCAUAUUUAACAUCAUAUUACACUCGUGCCGAACAAAAUGUCAUAGCAACGCUUAUAAUUAGUGGUUGCACCCUUCUGAUAUUAUCACCCCCCUAAAUUUGGAAAAGGCGUAUUUGUGGUAAACCUAGUCGAUCAACGGUGUAGUCGAUGGUUAUGUGCAUUUACCUCUUGAGUUAUCCGCUCAAGGGUACCGGUCUAGCACCCCAUAGAAAUCUUACUCCAUUCAAUUGUGCAUGCAUCAUGGUUAAGAUAGCCUUGUCCAAUCCCGCUGGGUUUCCCUGAAACCCAAAUGGAUACUACCCCAUAUGUGCAUCUAUUUGGAGAACUAAAUGUUGCUAAUGCCAAUUAUUGAUAUUUAAAUGGUCAAAUCUUGUGGGUGUAAGGGUUUUUUUGUAGAAAAUGAGGCACAAUGUCCCCAGAUUCGACAUGGUAACAAACAUCCACCCUAGGUUUCUAAGCUAGUGGGAAGACCUCCACUCCAAUGAUCAGACUCUCGUCCACAAAUAUUUGGGAAAUUUGACUUCUCUUCUAGGAAUCUAACCCAACAACAAAAUCGUAGAGGCUACAACCCUGUUCUGAGAUGGCGACAAAUCUGUGUUCCGCUUCGGGGACCUUGAAAUGACACCUUUGCUAGAGGAAAGAGGAGGGAUAGUUGGUAUCCUAUGGGAGACUCCCGAUUUGCUUAUGCCAAAAAAUCUCAAGGGUAAGGGUUUUCUUCAAAUGAUGGGACUAAAGAAAAAUCCAGACUUGACUUUCUCAAAGGAAUCCUACAUUCCUUUUGACUAUCUGUAUGAGAAGUACGACCAUAGCAAGUCUUAGCGCACUUACCCGGAUGAAUUUGCCCUCACUUCAUUGGGGCAUAUCCACAGAAGGGUCUUCGUCUUUAUGUUCAACUUUUUGGGGAUGAUUGUAUUUCCUAUGAAGAAAGCUAUGAUCCAUACCAGACUGGCCAUGGUCACCAAAACCUUACUGGAAGGAAUUGGCCUGCAACCUUUUAGCAUAGUACCUAUGAUCCUCGUAGAGAUAUACCGAGCCCUGUAGAACUGUCAACGAGGGGACAAAAACUUUGAGGUUGUAACUUACUGGUCCAACUCUAGCUCAUGGAGCAUCUCUAAAAAGGUGAAAUAACUAAGAGAUCCUGUGCAGGGAUUGGGAUAAUCAUAUUGCCUUCCAUCAGCAGAGAUGAAUGAACUAUAUGCCUAACAUGUUUGCUCAUUCGGAAGAUGCGAAAGAGUGAGUAGAGUUGUUCGAAAAUAUGAAAGAGGACCAAGUGCAAUGGAUGUUCAAAUAGUUUCAUAAUGAAAAGUUGAUUGUCCGAUCUCGGGAUGCACCGUUUCCUAUACACAUUUUUCUAAGGGGAACUUAUCCUUAUGUCCCUCGCUGAGUUAUGAGGCAAGCAGAAAGAAAGCAGGUUAUACCAAGGGUAAAAAUAAUGAAUAAAUUCUGGCCAACUUUCAGGAUGACGUUAGCGCUUACAAGUGCCAAGCCCAACACAUGUGGCACUACAAAAUUAUCAUGGGAAGAGACACUGUUGAACCGGACAAGUACCAUGCUGGUUAUACUCCAUAGUAUCCUUGUUAGUUGGAAGAUGAUCAUAAUGGGUCAGGACAACGGGGGUUUGUUCGAGGUCACAUGAUCAUUGAUGAAAAGACAAAAGCAUAGGUAACGUACAACCAACUGUGCAAGAGGAUGCGAAAAUGUGAAAAUGAGCACCGUGAAAUACAAGAAGCCAAUCAAAAGCUAAUUGGAGAAUGGAAGGAUAUGGCUGCCAGUUCCAACAAAUGACUGAUCUGUUUGAAGCGGGGCAUAAUGGAGCUGGAAAAGAAGUUUCUGAAGAGGGUCAAAGAUUAUCGAGUUGCUGAAGGGAAUGAAGGAGUACAUUUGGCCAGGGCCUACUUGCUACUAGGAUUACACGAGCUGGGAGAGCUAUACGAGUGAGCCAACACUGCCAAAUCUGGUGAAGGUCCUUCUGGGUCCAAAUAGAUAGGACUCUUCUUUUCCUUUGAAAUGUAAUAAGGCCUAUAGCGACUUCUGCCAUAUUCUAUUGCAUGUUAUUUAGUAUCGUUUUAGAUUGUCUUAAUUACUUAUCAAUAAAAUGAGGCAUUUAGCAUUCUAAGUUCUCCAAAUUUACUUGUCUCUAGGCCUACUUCGGGCACAAUGAGGUCCCCCAAGAUUAUGACACGUUUUAUGUUCCCUGCACUACGUGUUUAAAUAUUGCAAAAUCUUUCCUUAUAAUCCUUACUAACUUGAUACCUUUUUGUUUUCCCUUUUCUAUUUAUUCGUCUCCCCAAAAGAUUAGUUCAUGCACUCUGGCAUCAUCAUCAUACUCAAUAAGAUCCAAGGGCCCUCCACCUACUUCUCCUCCUAGUCCCAUUAGAAAUUGGAACAAGGGGAAAAUAAAAGAUUUGAGCAACAUCAGAAAGCAAAACCCAGUUGAAUAGGUAGAGGUUACUAAGGGCAUUCAAUUUUCCAAAUUUCCAAGGGGAAUGCCUCUUAGAAAUAAAAAAAGUUACUAAUGUUCCAAGAAGAGCUUAACCAAGUCUGUAAUUUGGCAAGUCUGUAAUUUUCCCUUGCUGCUCGAGAAGUCACCCGGAAUCCCACACCUCUAUAAAACAUCCCAAACCAUCCCUCUCUCUACCACCACUGCAAUACUUUCCACACUUCCAACAACACUUCGUUGCUCAUCCCGGAACCAUUGAACCCCAUAAAUGACCUUAGCCGCAAUAACACCCCCAUCUAUGUGGAAACUGUGCCGCACCCUAUUCAACCUAUCUCAAGAACACCCCAGUCCAAUGAUAAAGACUUGCUCAUCAGGAAGUUAGCUGAAGAGCUUACGAAGCUGACCACUAGGAUCCAAGGCGUCGAAGGUAGUAACGAAAUUGAGGGGCUAAACUAUGAAGAUUUAAGCAUACAGCCCAUUGUCGAAUUACCCGGGGGGUACAAACCACAGAAGUUCGAAAUGUUUGAUGGUAUAGGGAAUCCCAGGGUUCAAUUGAGAACAUACUGCGAUAAGUUGGUCGGAGUAGGGAAGGAUGAGAAGAUAUGCAUGAAGCUUUUCAUAAGGAGCCUUAAAGGAGAUGCUCUGUCUUGCUACAUUAGCCACGACCCAAAGAAGUGGUCAAAUUGGUAAGCAUGGCGUCCGAUUUAAUGGACAGGUUCAAAUUCAACACGAAGGCUGCACCAGAUGUAUUCUACAUCAAGAACUUAAAGAAGAAACCUACGGAGACAUUCUGCGAGUAUGCUACUCGUUGGAGAUCAAAAGCUACAAAGGUCAGUCUGGCUUUAGAGGAAGAACAAAUGAACAAGUUUUUUCAUCUGGGCUCAAGACCCACAGUACUAUAAAAGGUUGAUGCUGAUUGAAGGCCAGAAAUUUUUCGCCAUCAUCAAACUAGAGGAAAGGAUCGAAGAAGGUAUUAAAAGUGGUAUGGUCACUAACUUUAAAACCUUGCAAGCCACUAACAAGGCUUUAUAGUUAGGUGGUACGUCCAAAAAGAGGGACGUGAGUGCCAUAAUGGUUGCAUAGAGAGCCAAAGCACCAGUCAAAUACCAAACCUACCUCAUAUCUCCACUCACAUAUCAAUCCUCUCAAAAUUACCAAGCAUUUUUGCCUUCUUACCAAGCUCAGCCAUCUACUUACCAAUUGCCUCCACCACGCACAUAUCAGCCGACUUCACAUUAAUACUCCCAACCCACAUACGUCUACCAAGCCUACAACACUCAAUCAUCUCACUAUCAAUCGACGCCAUUUCCCCAAUAUUUCCCUAGACCCCAACCAAACUUCGACCGCAUUCCUCCCAAACAAUACACUGCCAUUGCUGAACCUAUCGACCAACUGCAUGAAAAGCUCAAAGCUGCUGGUUAUAUCACCUUUAUUCCUGCUGUAAACCCCGAAAACCUCUCCCAGAGGGUAAACCCAAAUAAAACAUGUGCAUACCAUUCCGACAUGAAGGGGCAUACCAUUGAUGAAUUCCGCCCCUUGAAGGACAAGAACCAGGCUUUGAUAGACAACAAGAUCAUCUUGGCAAAGGAGCCUUCUCUGAAUGUCCGUAACAACCCUCUACUAGACCACAAGGGUGGAGGUGUUCACAUGAUUGAUAUAGAAGAUGAUUGGGACCCCGAGGGAUCCAUCGGGUUGAUAGUAGAAGGUAACAAUCCAAAAAAUCGACAGUCACUCUUAAUCUAAUUAUAGUCCAAAUUCGUCCUUCUGAAGAUGACAGGGUGAACAUGUCCGUACUGGUUGAGUUUGAAAUACUAGCCUUUGCAAAGACACCAUCACCGAUUGAGGUUGAGUUUGGGUCCCCAAAGGUGCAUGAGCCCUUUGAAGUCCUUGUAUUACCUUCCAAGACAAGGGUGCCUAUUAUAGUAGAAAUGAUAGCCGUAACACCAUUUCACACAAAAGCCAUACUAUGGGACUACACAACCCAGGCAAGAAGGAAAGGAAAAGCCAAGUUCGGGUAAACAGUUGCAGCACAGGGUAUGACAAGAACCGGCAUGGUUUAUACCCAUGAACACUUGACUAAGUCAAGUAAGCACACCUCUAGAGAUUAUUGAAGAAAGAUAAAAGCCAAGGAAUACUCGGUCAUUGACCAGCUGAGCAAAACACCAGCACAGAUCUCGAUUCUGGCUUUGCUACAAAGUUCUUAUGCACAAACGAAUGCCUUGUUGAAGGUGUUGAGUGAGGCAUAUGUACCAAGCAAUAUCACUGUAGGAGAAAUGGAAAACAUGGUGGGAAAAGUAUUGGAAAGUCAAAAAAUCACCUUCUAUGAGGAUGAGCUACCACCGGAAGGAUUGAGUCAUAACAAUGCAUUGCACUUCACUUUGCAGUACGAAGAUUACUUUAUUAUCGGGAUCCUGUCAAUGGUGGGUCCAACCUGAAUAUUUUCCUGUAGGUAACACUUAGGACAUUAGGAAAAGGGUUGCAUGAAAUCAAGGAAAGAUCCAUCAACGUUAAGGCUUUCGAUGGGUCUCAGAGGUCCACUAUCGGGGAGAUUAGCCUACGUUUGCAUAUGGGACCCACUUGGUUUUAUUUUGAUUUUCAAGUGAUAGAGAUGCCGACAUCUUACAAUCUACUGUUGGGACGACCAUGGAUUCAUGCCGCCGGGGCUGUGGUGUCAACACUACAUCAGGUAGUGAUAUUUGAGUGGAAUCACCAGGAGGUGAUCAUUUAUGGUGACGGUAGCAAUCCCAUAUACAGCCGGCAGACCAUCCCAUCAAUUGGAGGAAGAAGAAGAAUGGGUGGGGAAACUUACCACCAGAUCGAGCGAGUCAACACCGUCAAUAAGUAUAAAUGGUGGGAUAAAAAAAUUCAAAGAAUAUUGAAUUGAAGCGGCUAUGAACCUGGCAAAAGACUUGGCAAUAAUGUCCAAGGAAUCACUAAACCCAUUAAUCUCAAGAAGUAUGGCACCACCUUCGGAUUGGGGUAUGAGUAUACCAGGAAAGAAUUCAACGUCUGGUCGCCACCCUGGUGCGGCCCUUACUAUCCAUUGGAGCAGCCAAUACCCCAUAUGGAGCAAACUUUCCAAUCGGCCGAAGUCAUCUACGGAUUAGAAGAAGAGAAAGCACUGGCAGCAAUAAGGAGUUUGGUUUUGGGAUGAUGAUAACAUAGAUUGUUGCAUCAUUUUUUAGGAGGAGGGGGAGGAAGACCCUUCCAUACAAGCCGUAAGCUGAGGAGAGCGCCUCAACAAUUGGUCCAUCAGAACCACCAGAGCUCGGUGUGCCUCGGGGUAUCAAGGAUGAACAAAGCACCAUGUACUAUUUUGUUUUACAAGUUUAUUUCCCUUUCGCAUUUUAUUUCUCACAAAAAAUAGCUUCGAUGUUCAAAACAUUCAUGUACUUUAUUAAAGUAUUUCAGUUUCUUAUUAAUCUUAUGCUUAUUAUUUUAAUUACUUUACUCAAACAUCAUUACCAUUACUUUACCUGAUGAACAAAUGACUAUGACGUGCAAUGAGAAAAUGUAACAAACAGACAUUGAUUCAGAGGAAGACGAUGCACCAGAAGAGAUUGUUAAGGAAGUUGAGGAUUUCAAAAAUAGGCCUAAGUCCAACUUGGACGAGACUAAGAUUGUGAACCUGGGAGAUGCAGAAAACAUCAAAGAAACACGAAUCGGCGUCCAUCUGUCACCGUCCGAAAAGAAAUAAUAUACAGAGUUCUUAUGGGAGUAUGACGACAUAUUAUCAUGGUCAUACUACGACAAGACUGGUCUAAGUACAUCUAUUGUGGCUCACAAAUUGCUGACUGAUCUGCCAUGUCCACCAGUAAAGCAAAAGCUCAGAAAGUUCAAGUUAGAUAUGAGUCUGAAAAUCAAAAAAGAAGUCACUAAUUAGGCCAAAGCUAAGGUUCUCAGGGUGGUAGAGUAUCCGACAUGGUUAGCCAAUAUUGUGCCAGUACCAAAGAAGGACAGAAAAGUUAGAGUUUGUGUCAAAUAUCGGGACCUCAACAGGGACAGUCUAAAGGAUGACUUCCCUUAUCGAACAUACACAUCUUGAUUGAUAACUACGCUAAUCAUGAGCCGCAGUCAUUCAUUAAUAUUUUUGUGGGAUACCACCAGACAUGGAUGGAUGAAGAAGAUGCUGAGAAAAUGGCCUUCAUUAAACUAAGAGGGAUGUACUGCUACAAGCUGAUGCCAUUCAGGUUAAAGAAUGCAGGGGCCACCUACAUGAGGGCUAUGACUACCAUUUUCCAUGACAUGAUAGACAACGAGUUCGAGGUAAAUAUAGAAGACGUCAUCAUUAAGUACAAGAAAAUCGUUGAUCACAUAGACGAUUUAAGGAAAUUCUUCAAUAGGUUGAGAAGAUACAACCUGAAAUUGAAUCCUGCAAAAUGUCCAUUUGGGGUUCUAGCUGGGAAAUUGCUUGGGUUCAUUGUAAGUCGUCGCGGGAUAGAAUUAGAUCCAUCAAAGGUCAAAGCUAUUCAAGAAUUGCCACCGCCAAAGAACAAGAAAGAAGUAAUGAGUUUCUUGGGGAGACUUAACUACCUCAACCGGUUCAUAGCACAAUCUACUAUCAUAUGUGAGAAAAUAUUCAAGAUGCUAAAGAAGGACGUUGCUACCAAAUGAACUGAUGAAUACCAAAAGGCCUUUGACAAAAUCAAGGAGAACCUGUCAACACUGCCAGUUUUGCUUCUGCCAAAACCAGGUAGACCCCGACUACUCUACCUUGCAUUAUUGGAUAAAACGAUUGGUUGUUUUCUGGGGCAGCAUGAUGAAACGGAGUUAAAAGAGCAUAACAUCUAUUAUCUCACGAAGAAGAUCACCCCGUACGAUGCCCGGUAAUCUUUAUUUGAAUGCACCUGUUAUUCUCUGACUUGGGUAGCCCAGAAAUUGAGGCACUAUUUAUGUGCUUACACCACGUAUCUCAUAUCAAGAAUGGACCAUUGAAGUACAUUUUCUAGAAGCCCAUGCCCACCAGCAAGCUAGCCGAGUGGCAGAUCGUGCUGAGUUAAUUUGAUAUUGUCUACGUGACUCAGAAAGUAAUCAAAGGACAUGCACUUGCGGAUCGCCUUGCUGAAAACCCUGUGGAUGGAGAGUACAAGCCUAAAGACAUAUUUUCCAUAUGAAGAGGUAUCUUCACAGGAGAAGAAAUUGCAGAGUUCAAUGAUGCUUAAAGAAUGUUUUUUUAUGGAGCAGCGAAUUUCAAAGGAGUUGGCAUAAGGCAGUCCUAGUAUAAGAAACUAGCCAGCAUUAUCCGGUAUCCGCCAAGCUCAGCUUCCCAUGCACCAAUAAUAUGGCUGAAUAUGAAUCUUGCAUCUUAGGGCUCAAAAUGGCCAUCGACAUGAAUGUCCAAGAGUUUCUAGUGAUUGGAGAUUUGGAUUUGCUUACAGGAGUUGAGGAAGAGAUUUUACAAAGAUAGAAUUCUAGCAUGUUCCCAGAGUCCAAAAUGAGUUGACGCAUUGGCAACCCUAUCAUAUAUGAUUCAGCAUCCAGAUAAGAACUUUAUAAACCCUAUUCCAAUGGAGAUUCACGAUCAGCGAUCUUAUUAUGCUCAUGUAGAGGAAGAAGCGGACGAAAAACCUUAGUUUCAUGAUAUCGAGGAAUAUUUGAAAAAGGGAGAAUACUUAAACUUGCAAAUCCUACUCAGAAACGCACACUCCGAAUGUUAUCUAACAAUUACUUUCACAGUGGAGGAAUCCUGUAUAAGAGAACUCCUGACUUGGGAUUGUUAUGGUGUGUCGACGCAAAGGAAGCAUCUAAACUAUUAGAAGAAAUCCAUGUUGGGACCUACAGUCCAUAUAUGAACGGUUUUGUCUUAGCCAAGAAGAUACUUCGGGCAGGUUAUUUUUGGAUGACUAUGGAAACGGACUGCAUCUAGUAUGUCUGAUAGUUUCAUCGAUGUCAGAUAUAUGCAAACAUGAGAAAGGUACCUCCAGACGAGCUUACUGCAACAAGCUCGCCACGGUCGUUAAUUGCUUGGGGAAUAUAUGUCAUUGUACCUAUCGAGCUUGCCGCAUUAAACGGGCAUAGAUUCAUUCUAUCGGCAAUUGAUUAUUUCACAAAAUGGGUUGAAGCGGCAUCAUACAAAGCAGUGACUAAGAAAGUUGUGGCAGACUUUGUCCGCGACCACAUUGUUUGUCGAUUCAGGAUUCAAGAAUCAAUCAUCAUUGAUAAUGGUUCCAAUCUCAACAGUGCUUUGAUGAAGGCCAUGUGUGAAACCUUCAAGAUCAACCACAAGAUUCUACAGCUUACAUGCCUCAAAUGAAUGGAGUUGUAGAAGCCGCCAACAAGAACAUCAAGAAGAUACUGAGAAAGAUGGUAGAAAAGAUUAAGCAGUCGCAUGAGCUGCUAUCAUUUUCUUUGUUGGGAUACCGCACCACAAUCGCACGUCAACUGAGGCAAUGCCCUAUAUGCUGGUUUGUGAUACAGAGGCAGUCAUCCCCUCCGAGGUAGAAAUUCCUUCGUUGAGGAUCAUACAGGAAGCCGAACUCGAUGACACAUAAUGGGUAAAGAGCCGCUACGAGCAGUUGGCCCUUAUAUAUGGAAGGAGAAUGAACGUAGUUUUUCAUGGUCAGCUUUAUCAGAACAGAAUGUCCAGAGCCUUCAACAGAAGAGAUAGACCAAGACGGUUCACACCAAGGCAGCUAGUGUUGAAGAAGAUUUUUCCACAUCAAGAUGAAGCCUAAGGGCAAUACUCUCGCAAUUUACAGGGUCCAUACAUGGUUCAUCAAGUUCUGACAUGAGGAGCCUUCAUAUUUCCAGAGCAAGAGAGGUUGCAAUGUCUAGAACCACGUCACAGUUGACAGUUCAUCUAAAGAAAUUAUUUUCAAUUAUGUAUUUAUGUUGCACUUUACUAAAUCAUUCAUAUCCAUUUUAGAAUUGCUUUGUUUAGCGACGCUACCCCAAUGAUACACAACAUCGCUGGAAACAGAGCGAAGCAAGACAAAAAAAAGUCCACGAGGAAUAUGAUCUAACCUUUCCCCUCUACAAACUCAUGAUUUAUCUUUGGAUACAGGCACCCAAGUUGCAAAUCCCCUAAUACAUUUAUACACUCAUACUUCUCGGGAAUACGACCCUUAGAACCAUUACCUACGCACAUUUCCGAUCUCUAUACAACAUCCCAGCAGCUACGAUAUCGCAAUCAACUAUCAGUUAUCAAGCCAUCAGGUAAGAAUUUUACCUCCAUUUGCAUUUUCUGCAUUGCAUAAGUCUACCUUUCUGCCUUUCGAGGUUAAGCUCUACCUCCAUUUGCAGUUUUUGCAUUGCAUAAGGCUACCUUUCUGCCUUUCUAGACUAAGAACUAUCUCUAUCUACAUUUUUAUGCAUUGCAUAAGGGCUAUCAUUCUGCCUUUUGAGGCUAAGCAUUGUCUCCGUCUGCAUUACAUACCACCUUUUUUCCUUCUGAGGUUAAGCUCUACCUCUAUCUACAUUUUCCUGUAUUGCAUAAGGCUAUCAUUAUGCCUUUCGAGAGUAAGCAUUGUCUCCAUCUGUAUUUUUCUGCAUUGCAUAAGGCUACCUUUCUGCCUUUUGAGAUUAAUCCCUACUUCCAUUUGAAUUUUCUGCAUUGCAUAAGGCUACCUUUCUGCCUUUUGAGACGAAGCACUAUCUCUAUCUGCAUUUUUCUGCAUUGCAUAAGGCUAUCAUUCUGCCUUUGGAGACUAAGCAUUGUCUCUAUCUUAAUUUUUCUGCAUUGCAUCAGGUUACCUUCCUGCCAUCUGAGGUUAAGCUCUACCUCUAUCUACAUUUUUCUGCAUUGCAUAAGGCUAUCAUUUUGCCUUACGAGACUAAGCACUGUCUUCAUCUGCAUUUUUCUACAUUACAUAAGCCUACCGUUCUGCCUUUUGAGGUUAAGCUCUACCUCGAUCUUCAUUUUUCUGCAUUGCAUAAGGCUAUCUUUCUGCCUUCCGAGGUUAAGCUCUACCUCCAUUUGCAUUUUUCUACAUUGCAUAAGGCUACCUUUCUGCCUUCCAAGGUUAAGCUCUACCUCCAUUUGCAUUUCUGCAUUGCAUAAGGCUACUUUCUGCCUUUGGAGACUAAGCAUUGUCUCUAUCUUAAUUUUUCUGCAUUGCAUCAGGUUACCUUCCUGCCAUCUGAGGUUAAGCUCUACCUCUAUCUACAUUUUUCUGCAUUGCAUAAGGCUAUCAUUUUGCCUUACGAGACUAAGCACUGUCUUCAUCUGCAUUUUUCUACAUUACAUAAGCCUACCGUUCUGCCUUUUGAGGUUAAGCUCUACCUCGAUCUUCAUUUUUCUGCAUUGCAUAAGGCUAUCUUUCUGCCUUCCGAGGUUAAGCUCUACCUCCAUUUGCAUUUUUCUACAUUGCAUAAGGCUACCUUUCUGCCUUCCGAGGUUAAGCUCCACCUCCAUUUGCAUUUUGUGCAUUGCAUAAGGCUAUCAUUCUGCCUUUCGAGACUAAGCAUUGUCUCCACAUGCAUUUCUAUGCAUUGCAUAAGGCUACCUUUCUGCCUUUCAAGGUUAAACUCUACCUCCAUUUGCAUUUUCUACAUUGCAUAGCACUACUAUUCUGCCUUCCGAGGUUAAGCUCUACCUUCAUUCGCAUUGUUUUGCAUUGCUUAAAGCUACCUUCUACGUUUGAGGUUAAGCCCUACCUCCAAUUGCAUUUUCUGAACUGCAUAAGGCUACCUUUCUGCCUUGUACGGUUAAGCUAUACCUCAAUCUGCAUGGGUGAAAUAUCGCCAGUUUAUUUCUUCCUUGCACGGCUGAAAUAUUGCAAAUGGUUUUUAUUUAUGUCAUGCAUUGGCUGAAAUAUCGCCACUUCAUUUAAAUCUUACAUCAGCUGACAUAUUGCCAUUUUUAUUUGUGUCUUGCAUUGGCUAAAAUAUCUCCACUUUAUUUAAAUCCUGCAUCGGCUUUAAGAUCGCCAUUUUAUUUACAUUUCUUGCACAACUUAAAUAUCUACACUUCAUUACAUCCUGCAUCAGCUGAAGUACCACCACCAUUUAUUUACGUCUUCCAUCGGAUGAAAGAUCUCCACCUUCUGCAUUCAUGGGCUAAAAGAUCGCCAAUUGUGCGAAGGUGUCAUUUCUCGGAGGCACCAUCUUCAUAGCCCGAAAACACCAUGCCAUGGCAUGAUGACUCCAUUUUAUCUUUUGCAUAUCAUUAUUCAAAGGCAUCAUGUUUCGAAGGCAUUAUUCUCAUAGCCUGAGAACAUCAUUUCAUGGCCUACGAAUCCUCUAUUAUAUGCUUCAUGGCCCAGGACAUCAUGGUCCGAGCACGCUAUCCUAAUUCUCCAAAGACAACAUUUAUGGUCCAACGGGAACAUGCAUCACAUUUUGAUUUAUGCACAAUAUAUGUUCAUAUUGCUCAUUUACAGGUAAACCGGCUAGCAACGGCCGUCUCAGUAGGAGCGAUCUCGCUCAGGUUCACGCAACCCUACUAGACUAUAACCAUCAACCCCAACCGAAAUAGCGCAUUCGCUCUUGAAUGAUCUCAAUUGGCAUACUCCGCCAAGGGAUCUUGAACUACAUAUGGCAUUAUUUCUGUAAGACCAGGGAUAUGUAGGCAACUCAUGAACCAGAGCUUGGCCAAAAUUCCUCAAAUCGUUUCGUCCGGUCAAAAUUGACCAUCAUAUCUUUACCCGAUAACUCUUUCAUCCUUCUUGGGUAAAGAUGUGCAGUUGUUGAUACCCAAUUUUUUCCUAUGUAUUUCUAUAUGAGAAAUACAUUUAAAAUAACUUACAUAAAUAAAUAAAUAAAUACAUAUAUAUAUAUAUACACACACACACACACACACAUAGGUAUUUUAGUUUUUUUUUG